AAUUCGAGCUCAUCCAAAACGUCAUCGACGCCUACCCUUUCAUCUCCAUGGACACCGAGUUUCCCGGCGUCGUCUUCCGGCCCUCCGUCGACCCUACCAGUCCCUACUCCCGCCAGACCCUCCGGCCCUCCGAUCACUACAGGAUUCUCAAAUCCAACGUCGACGCCCUCAGCCUCAUCCAGGUCGGACUCACCCUCUCCGACUCCCGCGGUAACCUCCCCGACCUCGGCUCCCCCACGCGCUUCAUCUGGGAGUUCAACUUCAACGACUUCGACGUCACGCGUGACCCCCACGCUCCCGACUCCAUCGAACUCCUCCGCUGCCAGGGCAUCGACUUCGACCGCAACCGCUCCCACGGCGUCGACUCCUCGCGCUUCGCGGAGCUGAUGAUGUCGUCGGGACUCGUCUGCAACGACUUGGUGAGUUGGGUUACGUUUCACAGCGCCUACGACUUCGGGUACCUGGUGAAGAUUCUCACGCGCCGGGACUUGUCCAGUGGCUUGAACGAAUUUCUGAAAAUUCUGAGGGUCUUUUUCGGAAAUAGGGUCUAUGACGUCAAGCACAUGAUGCGGUUUUGCAAAAGCUUGUACGGCGGGUUGGACCGGGUUGCUAGAACCUUAGAGGUGGACCGGGCGGUCGGGAAGUGCCACCAGGCCGGUUCAGAUAGCUUGCUUACGUGGCAUGCGUUUCAAAAGAUGAGGGACGUGUACUUUUUGCAUGGCGGUCCCGAGCAACACGCUGGAGUAUUAUAUGGACUGGAAGUAUGUUAAUUAAAAUUUUGACAAAAAAUACAAGUAUUUUAAUUAAUGUGAAAGGGGAAAAGAAAACAUGGUUGGUGUCUGUAAAUUCUUUCUAUUGCGUUCCUAACUGGGGCAAUUUGUUUAAUAAGAUGAAAAAUUCUUUUUAAUUCAGGAAACUUGCUAAAUAUCCUAGUAUUUUUAAGAAAACUUUUAAUUGGGUUAAGUUUAUUUUAAUAAAAAAAUCAUGUUAUAAUUUUAUUUAAUUAAAAAAAUUUAAAUUUUACGAAAAAAAUCCUUAUAUUUUAAUAAAGAGGACAAAAGAAUUUAAAUUUUAAUGAAAAAGAAAUAAUUUUAAUAUUUUAAAAAUUCAAAAAAAUAAUUGACACGCGAACCUAUGCAUCCUCACACAAACUAUUUAUGAAACUUUCUACACUGUUUAAGAAACUUAAUUGUACUACAUUAUUUAUGAAACUUACUAUAAGUGUGGUAUCAUUUUCACUUGCCUUAUCUGUCUCAUACGUAGAUAUGGUAUCUUCUCUGGAAGUAUUUUUCCUCCAUCCAGGGGUGGUAUCUUUAACCGAUGAAGAUGCACAAGGUAAUAUAUCAAUUUCACUUGUAGCUUACUUGUAGUUUUGGGCUUCGUCAAGUGUGAUACCAAACCCUAUAGUAGGAGUCCUCCAAGUCGCCGAGUUAGGAGAUUUGUCGAAAGAGGUAACAGACAAGGUAAGUAAUCAGACUUCUAAGCAAGCGACCUGGAUCGGAGGUUCGGUUUCGGCUUCCGUUUGAUUGUUCUCCUUCUCCUUGUGUCGUAAACAGCAACAAGGAUAAGGAGAAGCAAAUGGAGAAGAGAUGAUAUGAGAUACUUUUGCUUUUGAAGAAGUAACUUUCCACAGGCUUAUUCUUGAACUGGGCUGGAGGGUUUUUUGGUUUCCUCCAGAGUAUAAGGCCGACUCAAGAAUUUGAGGGUCAAAACAAGUCCAUCAAAUCAAGAGUGCGUUCGACUUUGAUGAUAUGAGAUACUUUUGCUGUUGACGAAGUAAUAGAUGAAUCGGCAUGUGUUCUAUUGCGCUUGUCUCCACAUGCUUCCUUGUAUCUUUCUCACUUGCCCUAUCUGUUCCUUAGGCAGAUGUGGUAUCUUUUCUGGAAGCAUAAGAUGUUGAAGACGAGUACUCGAGAGCAAUGCCAGGUAAGUAAUCAGGUAAGGGGUUCCAGACAGUCAGUUCCUGAUUGAGAGCUUGAUUCCAAGUACUGACUGAUUGCUCUGUUUCUCCUUGUCUUGCAGGUAAGAAUAAAGGCAAAUGAAAAGACAGGGAAAAAACAUGAUAUAAGAUACUCUUACUUUUGACCCUGAUGAUAUGAGAUACUCUUACUCUAGUGUGGCUAGUUUGCAUAGGUAUUAUUGGGGAGGGGGAAGAAAGCUGAGUAUUUCGUUGGAAGUGCCCUCUCAGAUAUGAGGAAGGGUUGAGCAUUUUGCAGGUCUGCCUGUCCGUGGAGGAUGGAGGUCGACAUAUAUAGGAGUCUUCCUAACAACAAGUAGUAAUGUUAUUCCUUGACCCUUCUUGGUCGUAGCAAUGUAAUGGGAGCUGCAAGCUUCACGUGUUUUAACUUUGUCAGAGCACUUUUGAAAAAGUGGUAUGUGGUAUUUGAAAAGCUGAUGUUGCAUGUGAAAAUUACAGACAAGCUUUAUUAAGGAAAUCUGGCUCUCGAAGUUCGGAGAGCGAUGCCUCUUCGGUUGUCGAACAAGCAAUCCUAUCGGGGAUCUGGCUCUCUUUAGAUUCGGAGAGCGGUGCCUCUUUGAUUUUUAAGAAAGCAAUCCUGUUGGGAGUCUGGCUUUUGAGAUUCGGAGAGUAGUGCCUCUUCGAUUUUUGAGAAAGUAAUCCUGUUGGGAGUUUGGCUUUCGAGAUUCGAAGGGCGGUGCCUCUUCUAUUUUUGAGCAAGUAAUAAUGCUAUUCCUUUACCCUUCUUGGUCAUAGCAAUGUAGUGGGAGCUGCAAGCUUCACAUGUUUUAACUUUGUCAGAACGCUUUGAAAAAAAGUGGUAUGUGGUAUCUGGAAAGCUGAUGUUGCGUGUGAAGAUUGCAGACAAGCUUUAUCCAAGGAAAUCUGGCUCUCGAAGUUCGGAAAGCGGUCCCUCUUCGGUUUUCGAACAAGCAAUCUUCUCAGGGAUCUGGCUCUCGAGAGUCAGAGAAUUGUGCCUCUUCAAUUUUUGAGAAAGCAAUCCUGUUGGGAGUCUGACUCUUAAGAUUCGGAGAGCAGUGUCACUUCGAUUUUUGAGAAAGUAAUCUUGUUAGGAGUCUGGCUCUUGAGAUUCGGAAAGUGGUGCCUCUUCAAUUUUUGAGCAAGCAAUCUUAUUGGGAGUGUUUUCUCAAAUGUGAGUAAAGGUUAGGCAUUUUUGCCAGUCUGCCUUGCCACGGAGCACGGAGGUUGACACACAUUGAGACUUUAGAGUUAUCAAGCAGUGGUGCUGUUCUUUUACCCUUGUGGGUAACAGUAGGGUAGCUGGAUCUUCAAAAUUUAUAUGUCUAAACUUUGUCAGAGAUCUUUGGCAAAGUUAUAUGUGGUACCCGAGGAGCUGAUGUUGCGUAUGGAAAAUGGUGCCUCUUCGAAAUCCGGAGAGUGGUACCUCUUCGAUUUUUGAACCAACGGCCCUGUUGCCCUUUCUUUUAUAAGGGCAUCAAUUGUGUGCAAAGAGUACAUUCAGAGAGUUAUUGCUUGUAGGAAUUUUCCCCUUACUUCAAAGAUUUAUUGCACCUCAUUUCUCCUUCAUCAUUUCUGAGAAUGUCUGGCCCAUCCGACCGUCGUUUUGACUUGAACUUUAGUGAAGAGGUAGCUAUGCCUUCUCAAGACAACAUAUGGCACCCAUCCUUCUUAUCCCCUACUGGUUCUUUUACCAUUGGGACUCUGUGAUGAAGAAUGAUAUGACCGCUGCGGUGGUGGCCAGGAACCUUCUCACUCCCAAAGAUAACAGACUACUUUCCAAACGGUCUGAUGAGUUGGCUGUUAAGGAUUCUCUGGCUCUCAGUGUUCAGUGUGCAGGUUCUGUGUCUAAUAUGGCCCAACGCCUAUUUGCUCAAACCUGCCAAGUUGAAUCAUUGGCGGCUGAAGUGAUAAGUCUCAAACAGGAGAUCAGAUGGCUCAAGCAUGAGAAUAAACAGUUGCACAGGCUCGCACAUAACUGUGCUACAAACAUGAGAGGUUUGUGGGUUUGUUCCAAAGGCAUUUAUUGCCUUCGUCUUCUGGGGCUGUACCGCGUAAUGAAGCUCCAAAUGAUCAACCUUCUAUGCCUCAUCCUUCUAGGGUUCUGCCUAGUACUGAGGUUUCGAAUAAUCACCCUCUGGUGCCUCCUCUUUCUGGGGCUCUGCUGACUGCUGAGACUUCUCCUGAGCAACCUUUGUGAAGGAUCCCUCUUGUUUGUUUAUUUUGAUUCAUGUAUAUGUACAUAUUUGUAACUUAUCGGAGAUAUCAAUAAACAAGCUUUGCUUUAUUUCAAUGUAUUGUGUUAAAUACACCAAGGCAUUCUUCACUAAGUUCUUUUUUGAAUUUUUCCUUUUCGUUGAAGCUUUGUGAGUGAAGCAUGUAGGUUGAGGUAGUGCUCCCUUAAUUUCCCGAGUGAGGAAAACUUCUCGUUUGGAGACUUGAAAAAUCCAAGUCACUAAGUGGUCGUGAGACUUCCGAGUAUCAAGGUGCAGUAGCAUAUGGUAGGAGUCCCCCAAGUAUCCGGUCAAGGGAGUUGAUGAAUGAGACAUUUCCUUUCUAAGUGGUAGCCCAAAACUCUUUCUUCAUAUAUAUUUGUUAUGAAAGUUGUUAGGCCCAAAGAAGAGGAGGUCUAGGCAAUUUUUUUUUUUUCAAAUUUUCGAAUUUCCGAAUUUUUGAAUUUUUGAAUUUUUAAAACUUUGUAGGUGAAGCUUUGGUGUUGAAACUUGGUAGGUAAAACUUUGGGGUUGAAGCUUUGUUGGGCACCAUGAAUUGAUUUUGCUUCACACUAUUUUGAUCAAGAUAGUGUGAAGCUUUUGUGUUGAAGUUUUGUGGGUAAAGCUUUUGUGGGUGAAGUUUUUGUGGGUGAAGAUUUUGUGGGUCAAGCUUUUGUAGGUCAAGCUUUUGUGGGUCAAGCUUUUAUGGGUCAAGCUUUUGUAGGUGAAGGUUUUGUAGGUGAAGCCUUUGUAGGUCAAGCUUUGUUGGGCACCAUGAAUUGAUUUUGCUACACACUAUCUUGAUUAAGAUAGUGUGAAGCUUUUGUGUUAAAGUUUUGUAGGUGAAGUUUUCGUGGGUGAAGUUUUUGUAGGUCAAGCUUUUGUGGGUCAAGUUUUUGUAGGUGAAGCUUUUGUGGGUCAAGCUUUUAUGUGUCAAGUUUUUAUGGGUCAAGCUUUUGUCGGUGAAACUUUUGUAGGUCAAGCUUUGUUGGGCACCAUGAAUUGAUUUUGCUUCACACUAUCUUGAUCAAGAUAGUGUGAAGCUUCUGAUAAUUUGUAGUUGUCCUCCAUUGAUGAAGCUUUUGUUGGUAAAGCUUUGGAGUUGAAGCUUUGUAGGUGAAGUUUUGGAGUUGAAGCUUUUGUUGGUGAAGCUUUUGUUGGGUACCAUGAAUUGAUUUUACUUCACAUUAUCUUGAUCAAGAUAGUGUGAAGCUUUUGAGAAUUUGUAGUUGUCCUCCAUUGAUGAAGCUUUUGUUGGUGAAGCUUUGGAGUUGAAACUUUGUAGGUGAAGCUUUGGAGUUGAAGCUUUUGUUGGUGAAGCUUUUAUUGGGUACCAUGAAUUGAUUUUGCUUCACACUAUCUUAAUCAAGAUAGUGUGAAGUUUUUGAGAAUUUGUAGUUGUCCUCCAUUGAUGAAGCUUUGUUGAAUUUCCUUUUUUUUUUUUUUUUUUAGGAAACUAGAAAUUUGAAAAUAUGGGAGAGACAACAUAUACAAAUUUUGCUUCCACACUGUUGAGCAAGAGAUUGUGAUGCAAGCCACACCUUGUAGUAGUCGAAUUUUUGGAUGAACCAUAUAAAUUGAAUUUGUUUCGAAGGUUUGAGAAUUGUAGUUGCCCUCCAUUGAUGAAGCUUUUGUUGGCACCAUAAAUUGGUUUUGCUUCAUACUGUCUUGAUCAAGAGUGUGUGAAGCUUUUGAGAAUUGUGAUUGCCCUCCAUUAAUGAAGCUUUUGUUGGAACCAUAAAUUGGUUUUGCUUCACACUGUCUUGAUCAAGAGUGUGUGAAGCUUUUGAGAAUUGUGGUUGAACUCUUUUGAUGAAGCUUUUGUUGGCACCAUAAAUUGGUUUUGCUUCACACUAUCUUGAUCAAGAGUGUGUGAAGCUUUUGAGAAUUUGUAGUUGUCCUCCAUUGAUGAAGCUUUUGUUGGUGAAGCUUUGGAGUUGAAGCUUUCAUUGAAUUUCCCUUUUUUUUUCUUUUUUCUUUUUUUUUUGGGAAACUAGAAAUUUGAAAAUGUGGGAGAGACAAUAUAUACAAAUUUUUCUUUCACACUGUUGAGCAAAGGAUUGUGAUGCAAGCUACACCUUGUAGUAGUCGAAGGUUUGGAUGAACCAUAUAAAUUGAAUUUGCUUCGAACAUUCUUGAAUUUGCUUCGAAGGUUUGAGAAUUGUAGUUGUCCUUUAUGUAUGAAGCUCUUGUUGACACCAUAAAUUGGUUUUGCUUCACACUGUCUUGAUCAAGAGUGUGUGAAGUUUUUGAGAAUUAUGGUUACCCUCCAUUGAUGAAGCUCUUGUUGGCACCAUAAAUUGAUUUUGCUUCACACUGUCUUGAUCAAGAGUGUGUGAAGUUUUUGAGAAUUGUGAUUGAACUCCUUUGAUGAAGCUCUUGUUGGCACCAUAAAUUGGUUUUGCUUCACACUGUCUUGAUCAAGAGUGUGUGAAGCUUUCUACGAGUUGUAGUGUUUACAUUGUUACAUUGGGGAAAUGUUUGAAGUAGAUGCAAGAGAGCUGAAUAGCUUGAUCUUCGUAUGCCAUGCAUUGAAGUUGCUGUUGGCUUGCAAUAAGACUUUGUUGGUGACUAUAACUCUUGUUGGGCAUAAGUACUCCCCUAGUUGAUUUGUCAAGCUUGAGGGUUUUUGAUUAUUUGUUAAUGCUAGGAGUUCACAUGUACAAGUUGUACCACUCGUCUUCUGGUAGGUGGAAUGAAUGGUGAGUUGCUUUCAUCACUUGGUUGGUGGUACGAAGGUGAGUUCCUUCUUCCCCUGAUUGGUGGCAUGAGUGGCAAGUUGCCAAAUGAUAUUAGAGUACGGGUUGUACAUUUCAUCACCUAGUUGGUGGCAUGAAGGAGAGUACGGGUUGUACAUUUCAUCACCUGGUUAGUGGCAUGAAUGGUAAGUUGCCAAAUGAUAUUAGAGUACGGGUUGUACAUUUCAUCACCUAGUUGGUGGCAUGAAGGAGAGUACGGGUUGUACAUUUCAUCACUUGGUUGGUGGUAUGAAGAUGAGUUCCUUCUUCACCUGGUUGGUGGCAUGAGUGGCAAGUUGCCAAAUGAUAUUAGAGUACAGGUUGUACAUUUCAUCACCUGGUUGGUGGCAUGAAGGAGAGUACGGGUUGUACAUUUCAUCACCUGGUUGGUGGCAUGAAGAUGAGUUCCUUUUUCACCUGGUUGGUGGCAUGAGUGGCGGGUUGCCAAAUGAUAUUAGAGUACGGGUUAUACAUGUCAUCACCUAGUUGGUGGCAUGAAGGAGAGUACAGAUUGUACAUUUCAUCACCUGGUUGGUGGCAUGAAAAUGAGUUCCUUCUUCACAUUUCAUCACCUGAUUGGUGAGAAUAAGGGCAAGGUGUCUUGGCGCAUUGUAGCAAGUGUCGAAUGACAAAAAAUAUGUUGAACCCUUUCAAAGCACAAAUGGCUUAUAUAUGAAUGUGUUGGAAUGUAUGAUUGAACGAAUAUACUGUGAAGCUGUUCGUUUAUUUGUAUAGCCUUGUUGACAUAUACUUAAACUUUGUUUCAUGUUGGAAGCAUUCAUGUUGAAGCUUUGAACCCGAGUGUUUCAUUGCUAAGAAUGUAAGAGGAUUAGGAUCAAGUUGUCUAAAUCACCUCUUUAUUUAAUUCAUGCCAAACAAUCUUCGUUACAUAGGAUGCCGAACGGCUGAAGCUUAACACUUGUACAAUGUGAGUUUACUUGUAAUAGUACUUCAAGUGAUCAGCCUUCAAUGGAUGACCAAGGGUCCUGCCAUCGGAGCUUCUAAGCUUGUAAGAGCUAGGGCGACUGAUGCCAACAGCUUCAAACGGUCCAUCCCAGUUUGGACUAAGUGUUCCUUCACUUGGGACUCUGUUGCAGAGUAAUCUUUUCUUCAAUACCCAGUCCCCCACUUUGAAAGAACGAGGUUUGACCCUUGAGUCAUAGUAGUUAGAGAUGCGCUGCUUGUAGGCGACAUUCCUCAAGUGAGCUUGGUUUCUGUGUUCCUCGACUAGAUCUAAGUUGAGGGUAAGUUGUUUGUCAUUUUCACUUUGCACGUAGUUUUGGACUCGGAACGUUGCUUGCUCAAGCUCAACUAGGACAACUUCCUCUGUUCCAAAGGCAAGUGAGAAUGAGGUUUCUCCUGUUGAUGUCCAAUACGAAGCACGGUAUGACCAAAGAACUUGGGGUAUUAAUUCUAGCUAACAACCUUUAGCUUUGUCCAAGUUGGUUUUCAAAGUUCGCUUAAUUAUUUUGUUGAUGGCUUCAACUUGUCCAUUAGACUGGGGAUGAGCUGGGGAGGCAAAACAUAAGUUGAUGUUAAACUUAGAGUAGAACAUCUUGAACUUAUUGUUGUCGAACUGUCGCCCAUUGUCAGUGACUAUUGCAUUGGGAAUGGCGAAUCUGCAAAGGAUGUUCUUCCAUACGAAGUCUUCUAUUUUUACCUCAGUAAUGGUUGCCAAGGGUUCUACUUCGGCCCACUUUGUGAAGUAGUCAGCUGCAACGAUUGUAUAGCGAACCUUGCCCUUCCUUGCAGGCAUUAGGCCGAUCAAAUCAAGUCCCCAUAGGGAGAAGGGCCAAGGGCUGAUCAUAGGAGUGAGCAGCUGGGAAGGGGAGUGAGGAAUAGUUGUGUAGCGUUGACACUUAUCACAUGAGCGGGAUAUUCUGAUGGCAUCUUGGUGGAGUGUUGGCCAGUAAUAUCCUUGGCGAAAAGCUUUGUGUGCUAGGGAUCGAGAUCCAGCAUGAUCUCCGCAGACUCUUUCAUGUAUUUCCCGAAAGACAGUUUCCGCCUCUGCGGGCGUAAGACAUCUUAGGUAUGGUAGGUUAAAACCCCGCUUGUAGAGUUGGUCAUUAAUGAUCAAGUAACGGGUCGCCUUGUAUCGAAUCUGCUUAGCUUGGAUUUGUCAUUUGGAAGGGUGCCAUGAGUAAGGAAUCUAUAAAUCGGGGUAAUCCAACUAUCUCCUUGUUGUAAGUUGCACACUUCCGCAGCCAUGGUGCUUGGUGCUGCCAACAAUUCGACCUAAAUUUUUCUCCCAAUCUUGUCUUCCACCGCUGAGGCGAGGCGAGCCAAAGCAUCUGCAUGACUGUUUGAGCAACAAUUGUGUUUGUGCCAGAUAUGCUACCAUGGAGCUAUCUUUAGCAUCAAAGUUGUUGAUGACCUGGUUAACCACCAAUUGGGAGUCACUGAAGAUAUCAAUUCGUUUAACCCCAAGGUGUUUGACCAAACGUAAGCCUGCUAGAAGGGCUUCAUAUUCGGCCUCAUUGUUCGACGCCUUGAAUUUGAAACGAAGAGUAUACUCCAUCGCCACUUUGUCAAGGGUUGUAAGGACUAAUCCUGCUCCACAACCCUGUUGGUUGGACGAGCCAUCAACAUAUAGACUCCAUGCUAGGGCUGUUGGUUCUAUUUUCUGAGCUUCUGAGGGUAAUGAAACCACUUCUUUAGGCGUAGAAACAAUGUCAACAGGAUAUGUGAAGUCAGCGAUGAAGUAUACCACUGCUUGGCCCUUCUCAGCUGGCUUUGGUUGGUAGGAGAUGUCAAACUCACCCAAUGCUAUCGCUCAUUUGAUCAUUCGCCCGGAAGUGUCAGGACUUUGGAGUAUCUGUCGAAGAAGAUGAUUGGUAAGCACGAUGAUGGAGUGUGCUUGGAAGUAAGGACGAAGUUUUCAAGCAGACAUGACCAAUGCUAGAGCCAAUUUCUCAAUGUUAGAGUAUCGUGUCUCUGCAUCUUGUAAGGCCUUGCUAGCGUAGUAGACAGGUCGUUCGACAUUACCAUUCUUUCGAAUGAGAACGGAACUUACUGCUGAAGCUGAUACCAACAGAUAGAUAAUGAGAGUGUCACCAACCUCAGGUUUGGAGAACAAAUAGGCUUUACUCAUGUAGUCUUUGAGGUUCUUGAAUGCCUCAGCACAUUCAUCAGUCCAUGUAAUGUACUUCUUACUUCCCUUAAGUGCUUUGAAGAAAGGAGCACAUCUGUCGGUGGCCUUAGAGAUGAACCUAGUUAAGGCUGCCACCUUGCCAGUAAGGCUCUGGAAGUCUUUUGAAGUUACCGGUUCCUUCAUGUCAAUGAUUGCUUUGAUCUUCUCGGGAUUAGCCUCAAUGCCUCGUUGGCUUAUCAUGAAGCCUAAGAAUUUGCUAGAGCCUACGCCGAAGGCACAUUUGUUGGGGUUUAACCUCAUUCGAUACCUCUUCAGAAUGGUGAAAGUUUCAGAUAGGUUGGUGAUGUGUUGGUCAGCAUGUUUACUCUUAACUAGCAUAUCAUCAACGUAAACUUCCAUGCUCUUCCCAAUCUGUUUGGCGAACAUUGAAUUGACCAGUCUCUGAUAAGUCACUCCUGCAUUCUUUAGGCUGAAAGGCAUGACUUUAUAGCAAUAUAGUCCCUUGUUCGUAGUGAAGGCUGUGUGUUCUGGGUCCGGAGGGUUCAUGAGGAUUUGGUUGUAUCUUGAGUAAGCAUCCAUGAAGCUCAGGAGUUCACACCCUGACGUAGAGUCUAUAAGUCUGUCUAUAAGAGGAAUAGGAAAACUAUCCUUCGAGCAUCCUUUGUUUAGGUCGGUGUAAUCGACACACAUUCUCCACAAGACUUUUUGGAGCAGGAGACUUUCCUCGGUCGGAUUCUUCUUAACAAGGACAACAUUUGCUACCCACGUUGGAUAAUUGACUUCGCGAACAAAGCCUAUGCCUUUCAGUUUUUCAACUUCUGCCUUCAUUGCCUCGUACCGUUCAACGUCAUAAGAUCUUCGAUUUUGUCUCACUGGCUUGGUCUUGGGGUCAAUACUUAAGCAAUGACAGAUGAUAUCGAGAGAGAUGUCUGGCAUGUCCUCGUAUGACCAGGUAAAGACCUUAGUGUUUUCUUGCAACAAAGAGAUCAAUGCCAACUGAAUGGGUGGUGACAAGGUGGUGCCAAUCUUCACCAUGCGAUCCGGAUAAUCUUUUGAGAUAGAGACCUUCUUUAACUUUUCAGCGGGUUGUGCUUGCUGGGUGAAAGAGUCAUCUCGAGGAUCGUCAGGUUGACUGUUGCCACCGUGAAAAUCCAAGUUGGCUUCGUCUGGGCUGGUCUUUAUGACUUGGUCAUGUAUAGAAUGGGUUUCCUUGGGCACAGGCAGGUGCCGUUGCUUGAUCGAAGUGUUGUAACAUGAUCGUGCAUUAAGUUGAUCUCCUCUGAUGUAACCAUUGCCAUAGGGGGUUGGAAAUUUCAUCAACAACAUAUGUAUGGAUACCAUGGCCUCGAGAUCAUUGAUGCCUGUGCGUCCGAAGAUGACAUUGUAUGCUGUUGGGCAAUCAACCACCAAGAAGUUAGUGGUAAUGGUAGUUGUGUAAGGGCAUGUACCAAUGGUGAAAGGUAAGUGUAUGCUCCCUAAAGGUUGCACGAUAUCACCGGAGAAGCUUAUCAGAGGGGAAAUCGAGCGAUCGAGUAAGUGUUCAACUACAUUAAGUGCCCUGAAAGCUUCAGCAAACAUGAUAUUGACCGAAACCCCCGUGUUUACCAGGAUUCGUCGUACUUCAAAGUUGGCUAUAUGAGCUUCCACGAUCAAUGGGUCGUUGUGAGGGUAGAUGAUACCUCUUUCUUCCUCAGGGUAGAAACAUAUUGGAUCCCAGUUAGGCUUUUGAUGCUUACCUCCCCUGAUGUCUUCCACGUGAAACACUUGGUGGUCAGACUUUAAAGCUCGUUCACUAUUUUUCAUGGCCAUGUUGGAAGAUUUAGAUAUGGGUGUACCGCCACUUAUGGAAUAUAUCACAUUCACCUGGCGUUGGUUAUGGUUACCCCUUUGAGGGUGAAGGAGGAAAGGUGAUACACUUCUCGCCGUCAUGGCCGUUAUGCUCGUGGUAGCAGCACAACGUGCCCGUGUUCUUCGUGGGCUUGUAAUCCGGGUGCCUUGGUUUUGGCUUCGGUAUCAGGUAUGCUAUGCUAGGGUAAAUGGCCACGCAUGUGGCGUUCAAAAGUGCGUAUGCCUCAUACCUUGGGGUAGGGGCUGUCUUGACACGUGCUUGACCUACUGUGUUGACUGCCUGAGGUCGAGGAUUAUCAUGGCGAUACCCUUGGUUAUUGCGGUAGUGUCCCUUACUCAUUUUACUAAAAUGAGACUGGUGAGGAUGAAAAUCUUUCCUUUUGCCCUGAGAUUGAUAUGUCUGUUGACUUAACAAAGUAUUAAGUAAGGUAGGGGAAGGUACCGCUGCCGUUUGAAAGGUUGAGGUCUUCUCAUUUGGUUGGAUCUGGCUUCCACUCCCUACUUGCUGAUAAGGGGUGGCUGUGUGGGGUUUCCCUUGAUAUGUCCUUGCCUCGACGGAGGCAUGGUUAUAAGCCUGUGCCAUCACCUCAGGAUAAGUCUUCCAAGUGUUGGCAUUGAUCAUGUACUUGAAGAAACAAUCAUGUAGGCCUGUCGUGAAGGCCUUGAGGGUGGUUUUGUCAUUUACCUCAGCGCAGCGAGAAUACUCAUGGCUGAAACGACCGGUAUACUCUCGUAGUGACUCGUCUAGCUUCUGGCGAAUAGUGUACAAGUCAUCUGCAUAAUGCAAGCGAUCGGUCUGGAAGAUGUGUUGAGAGACAAAUAGUUUCCUUAGUUCCUCAAAUUAGUCUACUGUCUCAAGUGGAAGACGGCAAUACCAGUUUAGAGCUCCGUCAGAGAGGGUGGAGGGGAAGAGAAGACAUCGCUCUUCGUCGAUGUGCAUCCGAUAUGCCAUGGUGGACUCAAAGAGGUUAAGGUGUUCAAUUAGGUCUUCCCUUCCAGUAUAGAGUUGUAAACCAAAUUUUUGUUUUGUCUUUGCUUGAAGGGGGUGUCGAGGAUCCUCCUUGUGAGAGGGCCAGGCCUGGGUUGGUUCCAGUCAGGUAUCUCUGCCUAAUGUUCGGCUUUCAACUUGUUUACUUCCUCAAGGAGCUGUAGGACAAGGGGGUCCUGAGUGGAGUCAUGUACCACUGGUAUUUUCUUUCAUAAGUCUCCAUCGCCUCUUGGAAGUAGGAAAGUUUGAGCAAAGGCGUGUGAUUUUUCCUUGGACUCACCGUACUGACUUCUAGGGCGAGUCUGUCAGAAUACCUCAGAGUCUCAUGUACCUUCAUGUUCCUCUAGGACAUGUCGUUCCUUCCCUAGAUUGGCAGCUGGCCUGGGUUGUAGGAGGGGACCGAAUCUUUCAGAAACCCUUGGAUCAUUGAUCUUUGAGCAUAUGUGGAGGGGAUUCUCUCGACGUUGCUUUAGGAAGUCUCGGCAGUCACGAUAAAUGGUUUUCGAUCCUUCCAACCCUUCUGCAAGGAGGUGUCUUCCUCCACUUCUCCUGCUUCAGGUCGAAGCAGCUGGGUCGAGAGAAGUCUCAUGUUAAUCAAUGUUUUGAUGAUUAACUCGUUCCUCAUCAGGGAUACCCAUGUCGAAGGAAGGUGACCCUUUGUGCUGGGGGGCACUCAGAUGAUGGUUGAUGUCCACAGGGGCAACAAGCUCGUGUGUUUGAGUACGCAUAGUUUCGUGGAGCGUCUCAAAGAGCUUCUCGUACUGCUCCUGGAGGACCUCAUUCUUUAUUGCUAUCUUGUUGUUUUGAGCUUCUAACUCAUCGACUUUAGCUUGAAGAAUAACCCUCUUUUCUUCAUUCUUUCGUUGCUUCGCACUAAGUGCAAAAGGGGUGUCUGUGUGCUGUGGCUUCCUUCGCUCCCCAUGUUGGAAAGGGAUGCUUGGUCAAAAGAGAGUGUACGAAUGGUGGAAACCAGCUUAACAAAGCUGAAAAGAGUAGGAAUAAGUGUCGUUCCCACAGACGGCGCCAAACGUUGAUGCACAAAAUCAGUGAGGAUUUUGGUACAACAGAAAGUGUUAAGUUUGUGACCUUCGCUAGAUUGCUCCGGUCACUAGUAUGGAUAAGUAUGUAAAUGGAUAGAGAUAGGGAAGCAAACACAAGAUGUACGUGGUUCACCCAGAUUGGCUACGUCCACGGAGUCGAAGAGUUCUCAUUAAUUGUGAAGGGUUUACACAAGUACAUAGGUUCAAGCUCUCCUGUAGUGAGUACAAGUGAAUGAUUUAGUACAAAUGACAUUAGGAAAUAUUGUGAGAGAAUGAUCCCUAUUUAUAGAAGAGAGUUUCUAGUUUCAUUCUGACAUUGACACGUGUCGUGUUGUGCUUGGCUUCUGAUGUUGACACGUGUCGCGCUAUGAUUGGCUUCUGAUGUCACGUGUCGCGCUCUUCUCUCUCCUCUUCUUGAAUUUUCUUGGCACAUUCUCACAUUCCAAACACAUUUUCUUCUUCUAAUUUUCUUCGAUGCACAUCAAUUUUUUUUUUCUAUAUCUCUUUAAUUUCUUAACUUUCUAAACCAAUUACUUAAUUUUCUUUUAUUGUCCACCCAUCUACGGCUUCCUCUCCUCCUCCACCAAAUGCAAAUGUUGUGCCUUGCAAACACAACACUUUUAAUAAUAAAAAAAAGUUGGGCAUAAUGGAGUGAGGUACAAGGAGUGUCUCAAGAACCAUGUAGCAGCCAUAGGAGAGACUGCUAUGGAUGGCUGUGGCGAAUUCAUGCCCAAUGGAGAAGAGGGCACCAUCGAAGCCCUCAAGGGCCUCAACUGCUCUGCCUGCAACUGCCACAAAAACUUCCACAGAAAAUAAGUUGAAGGUGAGUAGUAGCAGCUUUCCUCUUGGGAUCAUAAUUUCCAUCAUACCAUCAACAAGGAGGUUGGAGUUGGGAGCAAGAAAUUCUUAUUAAAUCAUGGGGGUAGAGGAGGACAUCGCAAAAGUUUACGAGCACAACCCCAAUACCCUCCCCCCCCCCCAAACACCAGAUGAUAAUGUCUAACUACAAUAUGGGGAUGUGAAUGGUGGAGAUAAUGUCUAACUACAACAUGGGGGUGCGAAUGAUGGGGUCUAUCCCGGAUCAGUAUGAUGAGCAAGAAGAUCAUCAUCGUCGUUGUCACGGUGGCGGAUCACGUAUUGACACAACUGAUAGGAGCAUAUUUAUGCGCCUUAGUUUAGCUUGUUCUUGUGCAUUUAUAGUGUUUUUCCUUAGUAAAGUAGUCUUUUAAGCUAGUUUCUUGUGUUCUCAGGUUUUAAAGGCAUAUUACAUAAAAAGAAGCAAUUUGGAGCCUUUUGGAGCAAAAUGGAGCUUGGAUUGGAUAUCACAUAUUUGGAGCCAAGGGUUUGGACGAAAAUGAAGAUUUGAAGAUGAUGUUGCCUACUUGAACAUGGUUUCCUAGUUGAAGUAGGAAAGUCCCUAAUUGAAGAUGGAAUCCUAGUUGAAUUAGGAUUCCUAGUUGAAAUAGGUUUCCUAGUGAAAUUGGGAUUCCUAGAAGAUGAAGUUUCCUACUCUUCCUACUUGAAGUAGGAAAGUUAAAUACAAAUGGCAUCAAGUUUCAGCAACAAAGAAGUUUUCCAAGUCCAAGAAGGAAAAGGUUUCCAAGAUGAAGAAUGAGAAGAAUUCCAAGUCAAGGGAGGAUUGAGACAUGUUUUCCUAAUGCGAGAAGGACUCCUAAGUGUUGUAGGACAAAAAUGAGAAGUUUCUAGAGAGUUCCCCUCCUUGCCGUGAGUUCCUACAUUUCCUAUCAGUUUUGGGGCUUUCUAGAAGCCCUAUCCCUAAUCCCUACAUUAAUGCCGCACCCUAGCUUCUAGAUACCCUAGUUUCUUGCCUUGCAAGGCAUUCUAGAAGGCCUAUCCAUAUCCUAUAAUUCCUGCCGCACCCUUAUUCCCUUAUCCCUUAGGAUUUCUGAUUUCUAAGCCUAAUUCCUUGUGGAUUUGGGUUAUUCAAGUCCAUAUCUGAUUCCCCUAGGGUUUUAAGUGCCUAUAUAUACUCUUAUCAACCCCUAGAUCAGAUUACCACCUCUCACAUUCAUAAAUCACGCCAGAAAUCUGCCCUAGCCUUUGCCGCAGCCUUCCAGCACCAUUCUCCCAAAUUUCUGCCUAAAAACAACCCUAGCCGCACCACCCAUCAACCCUAAAGCCUUCCCUACCAUUCCCCAUCCAUUCAAUAACGUUAGGAAAAUCUGAAGGUUAAUUUAAGCGGACCUAAUUAACUUGGGGCGUUGAGAAUUCAUGGGUUAUUGAAAAGCAAUUGGAAAUCGUUUUGAAUGCAAGUAUAACAUGUGUGGAGAUGAACCCCUUAGCUAGCCUUCCAUCCAUUCAUUUAAACCAAAUUCGUUUUCAAAACUGUUUGUUUUACAAAGUUUAUGUCUUGUUUUAAAUUCGUCCAAACCAAUUCCCCCUUUGUUUUAAAGUGUCAAAUUACUUAGUAAGUGUUUUACUUUGUGUUUUUAAGUGUUUUGAUUCAAGUUAAAACCCAAAUUCGUCCAAUUUGGUGCUUAGUGUCCAAAACUGCCCAGAAAGUGGUUUUUAGGCUGUUUUGAGUCUUUUGGUUUGUUUUGGUAUUUUAAAGUUUAAAUUUGCAUUCUUUGAGUCUAGUUUAGUGUUUUAAACUUGUUUUACGUAUUUGAGUCAGUUUUCAAGUGAUUUUACAAUCCCUCCUAAUCCCCGGCCUAGAACGAUCCCUACUUACAUACUUACUACAAUUGAUAAAAAGAGGGUUAAUUUGAGUGUUAGUUAAUUUUCACAUCAAAUUUUGGCGCCGUUGCCGGGGAUUAGCAACUUUGCUAAUCCCUUGGAUUGUUAUUUUCGUUUUUCUUAUUAGAUCAGAUUCUUAUGUUAUUUUGUUUCUUGUUUUAGGUACUUGUUUAUGACUCGGAGUUCUAAUCCGGUUCACGAACAUAUUUUAGACUUGCACGACGAUUUUGAGCGUGAGUUGAGACGAAAGAGGAAGAACCCGGAACCUAGUGAAUCAAGUGCAAGUUCCGAGUCCGUUUCUGAAUUUGAAGAGGAAGUGGAAGACAUGGCAGUGGACAACCGAACGAUCAAGGAGCUUUCCGCUUCGGGAUUGGAUAAUGCCGCACCUCUAUGUAUCCAAUACCCUAGGGCGGCUCCGGACAAAACUGCCGAGUUCGAAUUGAAGUCAAGCUUGUUACAUCACAUUCCGAAGUACCAUGGGCUGUCCAUGGAAGAUCCGAACAAGCACUUAAAGGAGUUUGAAGUCGUUUGCUCAAGCAUGACUCCGGUGAACGUGGAUGAGAGCAUCUUGAAGAUGAAGGCCUAUCCCUUUUCUCUCAUAGAGAAGGCGAAAGAUUGGUUGUACGAAUUGGCUCCCGGAACUGUCACAUCAUGGGAGAGCAUGAAACGAGCUUUCUUAGAGAAGUUUUUCCCAACUUCUCGAGUCAUCCUCCUACGCAAAAGGAUAAGUGGCAUUCAACAAGAUGAAGGUGAAUCAUUUCCUACUUAUUAUGAACGUUUUAAAUCUCUUGUUGCUUCAUGUCCACAGCAUCAAAUGAAGGAGGAACUACUUCUACAAUACUUCUACGAGGGACUUCUACCAAUUGAACGUCAAAUGCUAGAUGCCUCAGCGGGAGGAGUGUUGGUGGACAAGACCCCCACGGCAGCAAAGACUUUGAUUGCCAAUCGAGCAUUGAACGCUCAACAAUACGAAGGUGUUGGACAAAGAGGCACCCCACGGCAACACCAAGUGAAUGAGGUAAGUGCCAUAACCGAACUUCAAAAUCAAAUGGCUAACCUUACUACAUUGCUUUCUCAGGUUGUGGAAGGGCCAAAAGUUCAAAAUGUAAGUGCGUGUGGCGUAUGUUCCAUGCAAGGACACCCUACGGACAAGUGCCCACAAUUGAUUGAGAACGGAGGGUGGGAGACCCUCAAUGCCGUGGGUUUUGGGCAGCAAUACCAACAAAUGAGUGAUCCCUUUUCUAAUACCUACAAUCCCGGUUGGCGUGAUCAUCCAAAUUUCAAAUGGCGAGAACCCCAACAAGGCCAACAACAAAGCGGAUUUAGGCAACAACCCCCGGGUUUCUGUCAAAAGCAGUUUGCACCCACACAACCUCAAGUACAACCUACCCAAACCAAUUCAGGUUCAUCCAUUGAUAAUGAUCAGAUUUUUCAAUUACUAACUUCUAUGGCGUAGGGUAUGCAAAAUAGAGACAAAAGGAUGGAUGAGUUGGAGAAGCAAGUAGGGCAGAUUGCGGAGUUCAUGGGCCAAUUUCGAGAGCAAGGCAAGUUGCCAAGUUCAACUGUUGUCAAUCCGAGGGGAGGAGUUGAAAUUGCCAAGGCUAUCACGCUAAGAAAUGGGAAAGAAGUAGGAACCGAGCCAAAACCAUCCAAAUCUGCCCUCAAGGAGGACGAGAAGUUGCAAAUGGAAGAGGAGGAGCAAGCAAAAGCCACGGCAAUGAUUGAGCAAUCCUUGCUGCAACCACCCAGGCCAUCCAAUUCGGCCAAUAAAGGUAAGGCAGGUACAAUUCAAGUUAAUUAUAAUGUUAUUCUUCCGAAUGUACCCUUUCCUAGCAGAUUUUUGCAAGCCAAGAACGAAGAAGAGGAACAAGACGUUCUUGAGACGUUUAGAAAGGUGCAUGUCAAUAUCCCUCUCCUCGAUGCUAUAAAGCAAAUCCCGAAGUAUGCCAAGUUUUUGAAGAAGCUUUGUACAACAAGGAAACAGAUUCGGGAGAAAGAGGUGGUACACGUAAGUGAGAAUGUAUCUGCAUUGUUGCAAAGAAAGUUACCACCUAAAUGCAAAGAUCCAGGUAGUUUCACUAUCCCUUGUGUUAUUGGCAAUACGAGGUUUGAUCAUGCUAUGUUAGAUUUAGGUGCAUCUAUAAAUGUCAUGCCAUAUUCUGUUUAUGCAUCUAUGAAUCUAGGGAAGCUUAAAAAUGAUGGUGUUAUUAUUCAAUUAGCCGAUCGAUCUAAUGCAUAUCCCAAAGGAGUGUUGGAAGAUGUUUUGGUGCAGGUAGACCAUUUGAUUUUUCCUGAAGAUUUUCUAUGUGCUUGAUAUGGAGGACUCAACCCACUCUCCCACCAUCACCAUUCUUACUUGGACGACCAUUCAUGAAAAACUGCUCAAACCAAGAUUGACGUGGCCAAGGGAGCAGUAACUAUGGCAUUUGGUGGUGAUAUGAUUAACUUUAAGAUUUUUGAAUCGGUUGAGAAUACUAAUGAUGUUCGUUCUUGUUGUGCUAUUAAUGUAAUUGAAAAUAUAGGGCAGGAAUGUUCAACACUAGUCAAGAAGAAUGUACCACAACCCACCAUCGAGGAAGGAAUUGGAGUGAACAACAAAGAGUGCACGGCUCCAACCUUGAAAUCAUCAAAUCUGCCCGAGUGCAACCCUUGUGCAUCUGUCCAUAGUGCUACCACUUCUUUGCCGUACAAAGGUAAGCCACCUAUUCCAAUUUCGAUUCCCAUUUCAACUAAUAGGUUGUUACCUUGUAUGGUGCAGGUACCUAAUCGAAGACAACGUGGUGGGAGAGUUCGUGUUGAUUUAGAGAAGCAAAACACGACAAUAAGAAAUGAUCAUUAUCCCAUCCCAUUCAAGGACCCAAAGAAUGAAGUAUUUCGUAGGACAGGUAGUGGAAAAACCCCUCCAUGCCGUGGGGUACCAUAAACCUUCAAUGGAGCAUCGUCCGGCUGCAAGACGUUAAAGAAAGCGCUACUUGGGAGGCAACCCAUGCAUUCGACAAAGGAAGACCUAGAGAGCACUCCAAUUCCAGAUUUGCGUUCCUAAACCCUUCUCUUUGUUGUUAUUUCGUUUCUGCCAUGUUAGAUUGUUUAGUUGCUGUUUUCUUUGGUUGUUGGUUAUUUGUGUUAGUUUAUGCUUGAAACAUUGAGGACAAUGUUUGAUUUAAGUGUGGGGGGGUAACCAAAGUGUUUUGAUGCAAAUUCGUAGGGUUUUGUCACCCAUAAUUUCAAAUGUUGUUUCUUGCUGUUUUUAGGUGUUUUUAGGCUGUUUUGGUGUGUUUUAAUGUGUUUUGACAUAAAGAAUCGAAAAUCCCAUAAAAAUUUGAAAAAAAUGUUUUGAAAAAAAAACCAAAAAGAGUUGUUUUUGUGUGUUUGUUUGUGUCUUAAGGUACCUUCCAACACAAUGAUGAGGAUUCGGUUUGUAAUUGCAUGGCUGUUAAAGAAAGUUAUUAACAUGAUGAAAGUUUGAAUUACUCUUUGCUUAUGCUUGGUUGUGGUUAUAACUUAUGAAUUCACAUGUAAUCAUAAAGAAAAAUUAGUUUUUGUAACAUGCUUGAAGGAAGGAACUCAAACAAAUACUACAACCUUGUGAGACUUGAGCCUAAAUGUUUAUUUGGAGAGUUAAAAUAUGUGCAUUCUUGUUUUCUAAAGUCGUUGCAUGAUCUCAUUAUUCUUUGCUUGGUUACUACUUAGAAGGCGUUUCAUCAUUUAGUUCCAAACACUAGAACUCAUGCCAAUGUCAUUCAAAACAUGUUAUUGAAUUGCAUAACACAUAUUCAAGAUGAAGUUGUUUAGUAGUUACCACCAUAGCCAAAAAGCCUUCAUUCCAUGCAUUUGUUUUUGUAGGUUUAACCCCGUUGAGCCUUGUUUAGCCUAUGUUGUUUGUUAACCCACAUUAUCCUUACCUAGCCUAGAUUAGGACCAUCCAUACCUUUGUUCUUGAAGCAUAGUAAUGAAUGACUCAAAAUGAAGUCCUUUUGGUCAUUAUUGGCAGAAAACAAGUGUGGGGGAAGUGAGUUUUGUUGUGGGUGUGCCAAAGUCUUGAAUGAGGCAUGAAAAAGAAAAAAAAUAAAUAAAAUGAAAUUCGUGGAAAAAGAAAAAGAAAAAGAAAAAAGUGUGAAAAGUAUGAAAAAGGAGUUGAAAAGAUGUGAAAAAGAGUUCUAAAGUGUUGAUUGUUGAAGAAAGGGUCCAAAAAGUUGAAUUCGGCCCUAAUUGUUGUUGAAUCUUCCCUUUGUGUUUAAAAGUUAAUUUCUGCAUGCUAAUGGGAAUUCUGAGUACGAUUUCAUUGUUUUGCUUACUAUUGCUUUAAGAACGUUUGUUUCCCCUAUCCUUUCGUUGUUAGCCAACUCCCCUAGCCCCGUUACAACCCUUGACUUUAAUCUUGAGUGUUGUGUGUUUCAAUUUGUGGAGUUUGAGUUUGGUAUGUGCAUAUGGUGUCACUGGUUCUCGCAUCUAAGUAGUAGCAUUCCAUUCAUGAGAUCAUAUUGAUAAACAUGUUUAUUAACUCCGAAAAGUGCUUUCUUUGUUAUACAUAUAUGUGAGCGUUCGUUUUCAUAUUUACAUCAAUCUUCUCACAUAUAACUAGUAUAGGGUGUGUAGUCAGAAAAUCUGUGUGAAAAUUGAGUGCAUAUCUAGUAAGGAAUUGAGGAAAUUCUCUAAGGCAUGUUACUACAUUCAAAACAUUGUUUUAAUUGGUUAUUUGUGAACUAAUGAGUAGUGACUAUGAUUAAGUAUGUGCUUAAGCGUAAAGAUGGCUAAAAUCUGUGGGAAUCAUGAUUUUUAACAUGUCAUGUGCAUUGGAAAUCCCUGAGGCGAUUGUUGGAAGGUUUAGGUUGUGUUUUACUCGUUUUGUGUCGUUUGUUUACUUUGUUUCGUUUUGUUUUGCUCGAGGACUAGCAAAAGCUAAGUGUGGGGGAAUUUGAUAGGAGCAUAUUUAUGCGCCUUAGUUUAGCUUGUUCUUGUGCAUUUAUAGUGUUUUUCCUUAGUAAAGUAGUCUUUUAAGCUAGUUUCUUGUGUUCUCAGGUUUUAAAGGCAUAUUACAUAAAAAGAAGCAAUUUGGAGCCUUUUGGAGCAAAAUGGAGCUUGGAUUGGAUAUCACAUAUUUGGAGCCAAGGGUUUGGACGAAAAUGAAGAUUUGAAGAUGAUGUUUCCUACUUGAACAUGGUUUCCUAGUUGAAGUAGGAAAGUCCCUAAUUGAAGAUGGAAUCCUAGUUGAAUUAGGAUUCCUAGUUGAAAUAGGUUUCCUAGUGAAAUUGGGAUUCCUAGAAGAUGAAGUUUCCUACUCAAACAAGGUUUCCUACUUGAAGUAGGAAAGUUAAAUCCAAAUGGCAUCAAGUUUCAGCAACAAAGAAGUUUUCCAAGUCCAAGAAGGAAAAGGUUUCCAAGAUGAAGAAGGAGAAGAAUUCCAAGUCAAGGGAGGAUUGAGACAUGUUUUCCUAAUGCGAGAAGGACUCCUAAGUGUUGUAGGACACAAAUGAGAAGUUUCUAGAGAGUUCCCCUCCUUGCCGUGAGUUCCUACAUUUCCUAUCAGUUUUGGGGCUUUCUAGAAGUCCUAUCCCUAAUCCCUACAUUAAUGCCGCACCCUAGCUUCUAGAUACCCUAGUUUCUUGCCUUGCAAGGCAUUCUAGAAGGCCUAUCCAUAUCCUAUAUUUCCUGCCGCACCCUUAUUCCCUUAUCCCUUAGGAUUUUUGAUUUCUAAGCCUAAUUCCUUGUGGAUUUGGGUUAUUCAAGUCCAUAUCUGAUUCCCCUAGGGUUUUAAGUGCCUAUAUAUACUCAUAUCAACCCCUAGAUCAGAUUACCACCUCUCACAUUCAUAAAUCACGCCAGAAAUCUGCCCUAGCCUUUGCCGCAGCCUUCCACCACCAUUCUCCCAAAUUUCUGCCUAAAAACAACCCUAGCCGCACCACCCAUCAACCCUAAAGCCUUCCCUACCAUUCCCCAUCCAUUCUACACCACAAAUAACUCCAAAAAAAAACCUGUCUAAAGUUCUCUGCCGCAGCAAGGAGGAAGGAGGAUUCUUGGAUGCACUUGCUGCCACGUUGGAGCAUUCUAGGUGUUUUCUUUCCUUUGAUUUUAAUGUCUAAAUUUAUGAAUCUUUGCUUUGCGAGUGUGAGGAACUAAACCCCCCUUGGCUAGGGGGGAUUCGAAAUACAUGUUUAUGCUUGCGAUAUGAUUUGAUUACUUCUAAUUGCGUUUCAUAAGUUGUGAAUUCAAUUUACUUAUCUAUGUGAAUAACAUUGAUUUGUGUGUGUUGGUUGAGAGUGCACGCUUAAUUAUCAUGCAUAAAUUGAAUGCUAGGAUAUAAGGAAAUUUCACCUAAUCAUUAUGGACUUAUAUUCACAAGUAGUAAAGGUUGAUGAUCUCAAUCGCGUUAAGUAAAUUCUUGGCAUAAGUUUCAUGCAAUCAUAGUAACAAGUGCUUCGUCAAUGCUUAUGGUUUUCAUAGAACUUAAUGAUUCUUGCUUGUAUCUCUAUUAUGCAAUCAUGUAGGGGACUUGUGGGGAAUGCUUUGGGUUGUCGUAUGCAAUCAUCCAAUUCAAUAACGUUAGGAAAAUCUGAAGGUUAAUUUAAGCGGACCUAAUUAACUUGGGGCGUUGAGAAUUCAUGGGUUAUUGAAAAGCAAUUGGAAAUCGUUUUGAAUGCAAGUAUAACAUGUGUGGAGAUGAACCCCUUAGCUAGCCUUCCAUCCAUUCAUUUAAACCAAAUUCGUUUUCAAAACUGUUUGUUUUACAAAGUUUAUGUCUUGUUUUAAAUUCGUCCAAACCAAUUCCCCCUUUGUUUUAAAGUGUCAAAUUACUUAGUAAGUGUUUUACUUUAUGUUUUUAAGUGUUUUGAUUCAAGUUAAAACCCAAAUUCGUCCAAUUUGGUGCUUAGUGUCCAAAACUGCCCAGAAAGUGGUUUUUAGGCUGUUUUGAGUCUUUUUGGUUUGUUUUGGUAUUUUUAAAGUUUAAAUUUGCAUUCUUUGAGUCUAGUUUAGUGUUUUAAACUUGUUUUUACGUAUUUGAGUCAGUUUUCAGUUUUCAAGUGAUUUUUACAAUCCCUCCUAAUCCCCGGCCUAGAACGAUCCCUACUUACAUACUUACUACAAUUGAUAAAAAGAGGGUUAAUUUGAGUGUUAGUUAAUUUUCACAUCAAAUUUUGGCGCCGUUGCCGGGGAUUAGCAACUUUGCUAAUCCCUUGGAUUGUUAUUUUCGUUUUUCUUAUUAGAUCAGAUUCUUAUGUUAUUUUGUUUCUUGUUUUAGGUACUUGUUUAUGACUCGGAGUUCUAAUCCGGUUCACGAACAUAUUUUAGACUUUCACGACGAUUUUGAGCGUGAGUUGAGACGAAAGAGGAAGAACCCGGAACCUAGUGAAUCAAGUGCAAGUUCCGAGUCUGUUUCUGAAUUUGAAGAGGAAGUGGAAGACAUGGCAGUGGACAACCGAAUGAUCAAGGAGCUUUCCGCUUCGGGAUUGGAUAAUGCCGCACCUCUAUGUAUCCAAUACCCUAGGGCGGCUCCGGACAAAACUGCCGAGUUCGAAUUGAAGUCAAGCUUGUUACAUCACAUUCCGAAGUACCAUGGGCUGUCCAUAGAAGAUCCGAACAAGCACUCCUAAUCCCCGGCCUAGAACGAUCCCUACUUACAUACUUACUACAAUUGAUAAAAAGAGGGUUAAUUUGAGUGUUAGUUAAUUUUCACAUCAACAACUGUAUGGAAAUCGCAGGCUUUGUUGAUCUUCAACUUCAUUUGCUUGAAUCAAUAAGACUUUGAGGUCCGUUUGUAUGUUCGGAAAUUGGAGAUUGAAAUAGAGUUGAAUUCUAAGAGAUUUGAAGAGAGAUGGAUCUUUGAUUGGAAAAAGAUUACCGACUGAUGGUUUGAAAAAAUCCUUCCUCAUAUUGUUCUUCUCUGUAAGUGGUGGAUCACGUAUUGAUAGAGGUGCAGGACUUGCACGCGCUUUUGUUAGGUAUUUUAUUUUUAUUUCUUUUUCUUUCUCUUGUCCUUAUAAUUAAAUAAAGUUAGUGGGUGGUUUUUGGUUAAAACUCAAAGUUUUCAAACCCUUUUCAUUAGUUUUCCUUAUUUACAAAGGGAGAUGCAUAAUGUAGUAAAUAUUGGGAAAAAUAUUUCUAGAGUAUACUUUUAAUACUUAAUUAUGUAUUGACACAACACUUUUUAAACAUUUCAAGGAGUGAUAAAAUUUUAAACACAGAGGAUGGCAUCAUGGGUAUUUUUUUUUGUUAGAAUGAAUGUUAUGAAAUUAUCCUUCCGUCCGUUUAAAAGCAUGGCUGACAGAGAGUACUAGCUUUGGAUUCAAUCAUUCAUAUUCAAAAUCGUUCAAUUUCCUUUUGUGUUCCCUCUAUUGAUGGUUUAUGUUCAGAUUUCAGCUUGAGUUUUAUUAUUUGAAGGUAAGUUUUGUUCUGAUUUUAUAUUUGAAUUUUCUUUUCAGGUUUUGUUCUGAUUUCAUAUGUGUUGUGCGAUUUUGAAUUUUUUCUGAUUUAGAUUUUGAACGAGUUUGUGAUCUUCACGUUUUGAUUUUUUGCAUUCAGUUUUUUUUUUUUUAUCGAGUUUGUAUUUUGCGAGUUUAUUUUUGCAGGCACUUUUUUUUUACGAUUUUUGUUUUGCGAUUCAGUUUUUUGAUCGAGUUUUUGGCAAAGGUGAUUUUUCUUUGUACAUAUUUGUUUGCAUUCAGUUUUGAUAUUGAAGUAUAGAGAACAUGUAUAUCAUGCAGAAUCACAUUAGUUAUUUAAAAGGAUAAUGGAUAAGGAAUCAGUUUUUUCCACAAAAUUUUAUUUAUGUACAUUAUCAAUUUAAUUAGAAUCAAUUUAUACUUUACGUAUAAUCAAUUUAUUACAUUAUUCAUAAUCAAUAUUUUUUUAGGCAUGAUCAAUUUGUGAUAUUGUGGGGUGGGGGGGGGGGAAUCCCUAAGCAACAUUAAGAAUUUCAACAUUAUUAACAUUUAUGUAAAAUGAGUUUGUACAGGAUCAAUUUUUAUGCAUAAUUAGUUUGUGAUAUUGUUGUGUAGGGGGUUGGUGGGGAACCUUCCCUCAAGAAACAUUUAAGAAUUUCAACAUUACUAAUAUUUAUGCAAAAUAGGUUUAAACAUAAUUAGUUUUACAUAAAAAAAUGUAUGCAUAUAUCUAAUUAUUUGUUUGUAGAAUAAGUUUAUGUAUUGUCAUUGUGUUUAUAAUAUAUGUGUAGAAUUAGUUCAUACAAAAUCAGUUUAUACAUAAUCAAUUUAUACAACAUUACUUUAUACAACAUCAGUUUAUACAUAAUCAAUUUAUGAUUUUUUUUCUUUUAUUUUUGUGUGUAAAUUAUGUUUGUUGUUAAGGUGUUGAAGUGUGUAUGUGAAAUGGUGUAGUAGCUGUGCCACUAUAUCCGCAUACUAUUUAUGAGGAUUUGUGUGAGUAAUUAAGUUCUAGGUUUCCUACUUUGUUGCUAGGAUGGUUUUCCUUGAAAUAUUCAUUAUACGGUGAUGAAGCAAACUGUUUGUUAGAGUGCAAUGAAGAUAUUCAUACUUUCCAUUAGUGAAUAAUUUGAUUUCUAAUCCAAUUGUUGAGGUUUAUGUUCAUGAUAAGAAUAACAUAUCUAUAGUUUCUACUAGUAGUGCAUCGUCCUCUUAUUUAAGUGAAACGAUUAGGACUAGAGAUAAUAACUGAUACUUGGGGCAAAUAUGGUUUUUAUGAACCUCACCAUUAUGCAACAAAUGAGUGGUAGAGUUAUAUUUCUUACGAGGGUCAAAGUUAUGAAAAUGGUGCAGUUCAGUUGUGUAGAAAACUGAUACAAUAUUCUAUUGAAGUUGGGUUUGUUUUCAAGUACACCAGGAAUGAUUGAAAGCAUAUUGUUGCUAUUUGCUCAAAGAAAUUGUUGGAGGGGUGUUAAUGGCGUGUUCAUGCUAUUGUGCAACAACCCAAUGUUUGUUUCAUCAUUAAAAAACUUAAAUAAUAUUCAUACUUGCAGUGGACAUAUUCGUCAAAACGAGAAUAAAAUGUUCGGUCUUUCUGUUUUAUCCUUUUUGUUGGUUACCAAAGUUCGUUUGAAUUUGUCUAUUAAGGCAAAAGAGGUUAUAGGGGAAAUGAAGGAGAGUUAUGGUCUUGAUGUUAAAUACCAUGUAGCUUGGUGUGGUAAAUAGAUUGCAUAUAAUGAGGUUAAUGGUGAUGAAGCUCUCUCUUACAGAUGUUUGUCUUGAUACCUUGAUGAGUUUGUGCGUGCCAAUGAUGAAUUCUUUUGUUCUCUAGAACUUGAUAAUGAUAUUAGUCGGUUUGAAAGGUUAUUCAUAUCUUUUUGUGCAUAUAUUAAAAGAUUCUAAUGGUGUAGACCAAUAUUGUUCCUUAUAGAACGUCUUUGAAGGGCAAAUAUACUGGUACUUUUCUUGACUGUUGUGCGAAAAAUACAAAUAAUGGAAAGUUUUUUUUAAUGUGAUAGAUUACAGAUUCAAUUUAUUGUUUUUAUAGUUCUGAUAUUAUUUGCAGAAUCAGUUUAAUGUUUUGAGUUUUUGUAGAAUUAGUUUGUGAUAUUGUUGUGAAAGGUUUAUUUUUUCUUUUGUUUUUGUUUUUUUAGGGGAAGGGGUGUGGUUGGGGGGACCCCCUGAGGAUUAGUUAAGAAUUUCAACAUUAUUAACAUUUAUUCAGACUUGGUUUUCCAUUUUUUUUUGUAGAAUCUGUUUUGUGAUACAUUUUUUAUUUAUUUUGUGUUUUAUACUGAGAUUUGUUCCUGAGAUUUGUCAAUCUUUUAAACAUGUACCACACAUGCUCACUUUAGAUCUUUGUUCCUCAAAUUAGACUUCAGGAUACUUAGUAUUGAAGUCUGAGCUAUGGAAGAUCAAAGUAUAUAUGGUGUUGCCUUAUCACAUGUAAGGUUUGUACAUGCAUAUGCAUUUCACGUUUAGAUUCUUAUGCAUUCAAUCUAGUGAAGUUGUCCCGCUAGAAUUGCUCGUUGUUUUCAUGCGAGCUGGGCACACAAUUUAAGGCCAUCCACAUAGGCUGAUUGACACCUUUUAUAUAGGAUUAAGGUUUUCACAAUUGAUAUGUUCAGAUUACUUUUCAUUUGACAAGUGUUUUUUAAUUUUUUUUAAUUUUUUUAAUGUACUUUUGUCUGCUACAAUCAAAAGUUUUCAUUUAAUAGGGCUGGAGAAUUUCAUUUCCUCCAUGGUGUGAAAUACUAUUUUGUAGAGAGUAUUUGUUUUUCUUAUCCAACUCAGAUCUCCUAGGAGCAUCAAGCAUUUUCUAGGUAAAGUUCUUCAUUGAAUAUUUAUAGAACUGUCGAUGAAAAAGCUUGCUUAAAUCUUCUUAGAAGCUCAUUUGUUUUGGGUUAGAUAAUUCAAAAGAGUGGCAUAAGCUCUUCGAGCCUCAUCUUCUUAUUCUAUGAAACCCUAGCUGCAUAUACCUUUUUUAAAGCAUUAAACUUCUGCUAACUCACUCACAACGUCUUUGAAAAAGGUUUGCAUUGUUCAUGGUCUAGAUCUUAGUUUCAAUUUUUUAUAUAGACCUUCUUUUGGAUUCUCAAUUAGUUUCUUCUUUCAGCUGUUUGACUAGAGAAAUUGACUUGUUAUUUGAAACCACACACCAUAUCAUCCUCCUCAUCAUAUCAUUCUACAUAGAUUGUGUUGCUCUCGAUUCCACAAUGAGAUGAGCUAAAGGGAUGGAAUUGCCUUGUUGUGAAGAUAUCUCUAGCUUGUGCAAAGUGAGGUUGCACAAAGGUAUCAAGCUACUUAGAAUAGAUCUAGGAAUUGAGCUUGUGGUGGUACUUUGUAUGAACCUUAUUUGCACUAGUGGAUUGGACUCUGUGGAGUCCCCGGUUUUUUAAUCCAUUGGGGGGUUUUCUGGUCCAAACUGUUUGUUUUCUUUGUAGUUUAAACUUGUUCACAUAUCUUUAUCACAUGCUAUAUAUAUUAUGUGACUUGUUUUAUAUGUGCUUGUUCUUAAGUUUUCACUGCAUGAUUAUGAGAUAUUAACUGCAUGGGUUGUUAACUAGGUUAACUUAUUAAAAAUUGAGUUUUUUUUGUUGGAUUUGUGUUUUUAUAACUACCACAUUUGCACUUAGUUGACUAGUUUGUUUGACAAGUCAAUCUAUCAUAGUUGCUAUACAUUCCACCUGGUACCAACUUAAUUGUAUCAGAGCUUUGAUUUAGAUAUACAUAAAGUGAUCUUUAGGAGUUAUUGGUAUUGGGUGGAAUCUCACCAUGGAUCGUGAUCGUAUUGCUGGUUCUUGUAACUUGCCUCUUUUAUUUGAUGGAACGGACUACGCUGCAUGGCGUGAGAAUUUUCAAAUCUUACUAGAAGCACAAGACUUAAUUGAUGUUGAUUAUCUCACCUUUGAAUGGAAAGCUCAUUUGAGGAUUGUUGAUGGUAAAUUUGUGGUAAACGCUGAAUGCGAUUGGACUCUUAGUGAACUCACAUUGGCCAUGGCAAACAGAAAAACAAGGAAUAUCAUUGUCAUUGCAAUCUCACCAACUCAGCACACAUUCGCUAUCACCACGACAAAACAAGUAGGGGACAAACUCAUAAUCCUUCAUGAAGGUGAUAAACAAGUGAGAGAUCUCAAACUUCAGAUGAUUCUCUCGAAGUUUGAGGAUUUAAGGAUGAAGGAGUCUGAGUCCUUUUCGGCUUUCUAUGAACAUAAUUGAAAUGUUGACGAAUGAAGCCUUAUGUUGGGGAAAGCCUAUUGAUGAGACAACUAUUGUACAAAAGAUCUUGAAAACCUUGCAAACGUGAUUCAAAGCAAAAAAGGCAGUUUUUCAGGAGUGUCAAGACUUAUAUGAGAUCAAACUUGGAAAGUUGGUUGGUAAACUAAUCACUUAUGAGAUGGGGCUUGACAUGGAAGAAGGUGAUUCAAAGAAGAGAAAAGAUAUUGAUCUUCAAAGUGUAGAAAAUGCUAAAGUUACCUUUGAACCUUGUAAUUAAUCCCUUGAAGACGAUCUUGCUUUGUUUGUUAAACAAUUUAGAAGAAUUCUCAAGAACAAAGGAAGAGAGGUAAAAAAAACUGGGGGGGGGGGGGGUCAUAAAAAGAUUUCAAGUUUCAACCUCAAGGUAAGUUUACAUUUGGUAGAAAGUAAGGAAAGUUUGGCAAUUGUAGGGACUAGGGGUGGGCACGGGCCGGGCCUGGCCUAAUUUUGAAGGAACUGGACCUUACCCAUUUUAAAUAGUAACGGGGCGGGAAGGGCUGGGUAGAGGGAUUUUGAGUUUAGGAACCGGACCUAACUCGGCCCGUUUCAAAUGGGCCGAUUCGGGACGAGUCCACGGGUCCAACUUUUUUUUUUUUUUUUGUAAUUUAUAUACUGCACAGCAACAGAGACAUGUUUUAGAAAAUUACAAGAUCUAUUUCACAAGCUUCUACACACAUGAGCUGUUUUUUAAAAUUGAAGAUGCGCUGCACAUCAAUUCUUAUAUAUUCUUAUACACACACACACACAUAUUAAUAAACCAGAUGUGGGAACUCGGCAAGUAUCAUUAGCAGUCACCAAUAAGGCACUGAACUCAAAACUAUAUAAAUCCUUAUGUAAUGGACUGUACAAACUAUAUAAAUCCUUAUGUAAUGGACUGUACAAAUUCACUGAAUCUCUUCAACUAGUGAAAGAGUACAACCAUAAUAUAGAGACUAAGAAAAGAGGAAAAAAUGAAAACAAAACAUUUUCUUUUAAUAAUAACAAUAUUUGGUAUUACAAUAGCACCUUGACAAGAGGGUACACAGACCCUUGAUCCUAUCAUUAUAAAAUAAAAGGCUAGAAGAAGUAUGAUUCGACAUAGCCUAGUCUCCCACUAAAACAAAUGACAUUUUUGCAUUCAACGGACAACACUAGAUUUCAUUAACCAAACAUAAAUAUAAUCGUAAAAGAAAGGCAAAAUUAAAUGUAUCAGUAAAUGAAUGAAGUUCUCUAGCCAAUUUUGCACCAUGUCUCAAUGCCAGUUCAAGCAUCUGUGGUACUUGAGCUAAACAAAAUGUGACGGAUUAACCACAAUAGCAGAACCUCAUCGACCGUAAUAAUACAUCGAAUCUGCUCUAGAUUAACCACAAUAGCCUUUUCUCUUCCAAGGAUGGUUGAAGAUACAUCUUAUAUAAAGCUUUGAAUGUAAAUUCAUCUUUGAAGAACAUCAUAUACAAAUUCAAUCUACAAACUCAUCUUUGACUUACAAACAUCAAGAUUGCAGCUUCAAUUACCAAUUUUAGUUCAAAAAUAAAUAUCUUCAAAAAAUUGUAACAAAUUUAAAUACCAACAACUUAAAAUCUACAAUCUAUAAGCAGAUCCAUAAAAUUCAAAACCAAUCGAAAAGUUUCAGCAAGUAAUCAAAUCACAACAGUCCAUAUAAUGAAUCGAAAAACUUAUGUAAUCACAGCCCCAAAAAACCUAAAUUCCCAAAUCAGAAACCCACAUAAUUCCUAAAUCAAUUGAAAAGCUUAUGUAAAAACGAGGCCUGAAACGAGAGAUGAGAAGAGAUUCAGGGAGUGAGUGCGACUAUGCGAGGUUUGAGAGAGUCGGAGAGACAGGUCUAAGAGAGUCAGAGAGAUGGACUCUGAUAUAUGUUUUAAUGCAGAGAUUUGAUCAACGGACUAGAUUAAAUCUCAUAUUUUUCAAUGGUGGAAAUGGUCCGGGCUGGGGACCCGUUUCCUCAGUAAUUAGAACUCGCCCCGCCCUGCAAAUAACGUGGAACCGCCCCAUCCUGUCCCGUUUCAGAUUUAAAAAAAAAAUUGGACCCGCCAUUACCCGUAGGUCCAUGCCCCGUUUGCCCACCCCUAGUAGGGACAAGCCUUCUAUUAGUGAACCCCGAACAUGUUUCUCGUGUGGUGGUAUUGGACAUCGAGUUGCUGGGUGUGCAAACAAUAGGAAGCCAAAUCGAAAACGUGGGAAAGUAAUGAUGGCUACCUGGAGCGAAAGCGAAAGUGAUGGAUCUAUGUGUUUUGACAGGUCAUCAGAUGAUAAAGAGAAAACUAUUGCUUUUGUUGCCUCAGUUAAAGAGGUGUAUCCUAGUGAUGAUGAACUAGUGUUGAAUGAUAUUGAGGAGUUGAUGACUCAUUUUUUUGUGACACUUGUGUUGCUAAAGUGGAUAAUAUUGAGCUGUUCAGAAUGCCUCUGAGAUGUAGAAAGAAAAUGAGUCACUCCGACUAGUUAGAAUGGAAUUGAGUGAAAAAGUGGUUUCUCUUGAGGAUCAAGUCAAGUUUCUAAAAGAAAUGGGCUUUUUUAGUGAUGACAAAGAAGAAAAUGAUGAAAUUGUUGCUGCCCUUGAAGCUCAAGUUCAUGAUCUAAAUAAAUCUUAAGAAAACUUGUUAAAUCAAGUUCAUGUAUUAAAGGCCAACAAUGUAAUGUAUCAUAACGAAAAUUUAAAGCAGUUGGCCAAGCUGAAUGUGGCCAACAACAAUGUCAUUCAUCUUACCAUUGGUGCUGAAGGAAUUGACCAAAAACUGAGUAUUAGGAAACCAUAUAAAGACAAAAGUGGUUUUGAUUUUGUUGAAAGUGGUUCAAGUUCUAUGGCUAUUAAGACAAAGUUUGUGAAAGAAUCAAAACUUGUGUCUUCUAAUGUCAAUCCUAGCUCAGAUAACAAAUUCAUUCCCACAUGUUAUCACUGUGGUGAAAUGAGUCAUAUCCGACCAAAAUGUUGGAAGCUUUACUCUGGAAAGAAUGACUUUGAAGGAUUAGGUUGAUCAAUUAGUCGUUGAUGUUAACAAAAAUGCACAACUUAUUCAAUCAUUUAGUUUGAAUCAUGUGGUCCUCAAUGCACUUUCCGCCACCAAACCAAAUGCUUGGUAUCUUGAUAGUGGGUGUUCUCAUCAUAUGUCUGGGGACAAAGAUGCCUUCUUGUCACUUGUUCCCUUUAGUAGUGGUGGUGUGGUAUUUGGUAAUGGCGACAAAUCUCAAAUCAUUAGGAAGGGUGCUGUCAAGAUCCCUGGUCUUCCUCAGCUCAAAAAUGUUAGCUAUGUAAAAGGGUUGAAGUCAAGCCUCAUCAGUAUUAGCCAGUUGUUUGAUGAAGUAUUUGAUGAAUUUUUCUUCUCCCAAAGAGGUUGCCAAAUUAUGGAUGAAAAUGGGAAGAAUAUGCUUGUCCUACCAAGAUUCGGAGACAAUUGCUACAUUCUUGAUGCUUUUAAAGUUGGUGAAUAUUCAAAGUGCAACAAAGCAAUUGAUGAAACUAGGGUAUUGAGGCAUAGAAAACUUGGUCAUGUCAACUUCAAAGAUCUUAAAAAAUGAUCUUUAAAAAUUGUCCAAACAUGAGGUUGUAAGAGGUCUACCAUAUCUUUUUGUCUUUGAGUCCCAUGUUUUUGGAUCAUGCCAAUUAGGAAAGCAAACUAAGGUGGCCCACAAGAAAGUAACUGAUAUUAGCACGUCCAAAGCUCUUUAAUCAGUGCAUACAGGCCUAGUUAGACCAAUCUAAACCUUGUUUAUUGGUUGGAAGAAAUACAUCUUGGUAAUUGUGGAUGACUACUCUAGAUUCACUUGGGUAUGCCUUUAAGAGAGAAGUCCGACAUUUUUCAACAAUAUCUUAUUGUGUAGAAAAUGAUGUUGAAUGAGUCUUUAUCCAAUCAUCUUGCACCAGUCAGGGUUCGAACUAAUGAUGGCUCUAAGUCCUCCAAUGUGCACUUUGAUGAUUUCUGCUUAACAAAUGACAUCAAGCAUGAGUUCUCUGCUCCAAUCACUCCUAAAAAAAAUGGAGUCAUUGAGAGGAAAAAUCGCAUUCUAAUUGAGAUGACAAUGGUGUUGCUAAGUAGUAAAAAUAUAGCGAAACACUUUUGGGCCAAAACCAUGAGUACAACUUGCUACAUCUCCAAUCAUGUCUUCUUUAGACCUGGCACAAAUGUGACUCCCUAUGAACUCUAGAGAGGUAAAAAACAUUUGGUUAAGUACUUUAGAGUUUUUGGGAGUGUUUGCUAUAUCUUGAGAGAUCGCGAACACCUACCAAAAUUCGAUACUAAAAGUGAUGAAGGAAUUUUCUUGGGCUACUUCAACAUAAGCACGACCUAUAGGCUUUAAAAUCUUCAAACAAAAACCGUCAUGGAGUCCAUUAAUGUUAAAGUGGAUGACUCUGAUGUUCCUUUUGCUCCUUAUAUUGGACAUGGCGACGCGUUCUCUCCUCUUUCAAAAGAGAACAGUGAUGCUUCUAGUGAGUCAAUUGUGUUGUUAAAAAGUGACUAAGACAUUCAAGUAAGUACUGAUCAAGAUUCCCCUAUCACGCUCAAGGAUAAGCUAAAAUGGGCCAAAAGUCAUUGAUAUGAAGAGAUAAUGGGUCCUGCUGACAAAGGUGUUAGAACUCGAAGACAAAUUGCAGGUGAAGUUGGUCAUAUGUGAAAUGGCUCUCAAACUGAGCCAAGAAUACCAAAGAUGCUUUGACUGAUGAGGAAUGGAUUUUAGAAUGCAGAAAGAGCUAAAUCAAUUUGAUAGGAAUGAGGUCUGGUUCCUUGUAGAUCAUUCAUCAAACACAAAUGUUAUUGGCACCAAAUGGAUAUAUAAGAAUAAGUCUGAUGAGUCAAGAAAUGCUAUUAGAAAUAAGGCCAGACUUGUUGCACUAGGAUACUCUCAACUUGAAGGUGUUGAUUUCGAUGAAACCUUUUCUUUUGUUGCUUGACUUGAAUGUGUUAGACUCUUUUCAGCCAUUGCUUACCAUUUGAAGUUCAAAUUGUUUCAAAUGGAUGUCGAAAUCACUUUCCUUACUGGGUAUCUCAAUGAAGAAGUCUACGUGGAACAGCCAAAGGGUUUUGAGGAUCUUCACAAUCCAAAUGGUGUGUACAAAUUGAGAAAUGACCUCUAUAGCUUGAAACAAGCUCCACGUGCUUGGUAUGACAACAUUUCUUCUCAUCUUGCUCUUGAGUACACUUGUGGCUUAGUUGAUAAGACACUAUUCGUUAAGAAUGUGAAAUCUCAUAUUGUGAUUACUCAAGUAUAUGCGGAUGACAUUGUUGUCGGCUUUACCUUAGAUUCUCUUGUGAAACAAUUCAUCAACAUGAUGACAGGUGAAUUUGAAAUGAGUUUGGUUGGAGAGAUAAACUACUUUUUAGGACUGAAGUGGCAAUGAUGUUUAUCAAAUGUUGUAUAGAAGUAUGAUUGAUAGUUUGCUCUACUUGACUACAAGUAGAUUGGAUAUUGCUUUUGCCGUUGGGGUGUGUGCUCGCUUUCAAAGUUGUCCUAAAGAGUCUCAUUUGUUGGCCGUCAAGAGGGUCAUUAAGUAUGUUAGCGGAACUACCAAUUUUGGCUUGGACUACACUCUUGACACCAACACAAAUCUUGUUGGUUAUAGUGAUUCCGAUUGGGCCGAAUGUAUUGAUGAUCGAAAAAGUACCUCCGGGGAACUUUUUAUCUUGGAAACAACUUGGUGGCUUGGCAUAGUAAGAAGUAAAAUUGCAUCUCUCUCUCAAUCGCACAAGCCGAAUAUGUUGUUGUGGAAAGUUGUUUUACUCGGUUGAUGUGGAUGAAACAAAUGCUCAAUGACUAUAGGAUCUCUCAAUCUACCUUUCUCAUAUAUUGUGACAACAUAUGUGCAAUUGACAUCUCAAAGAACCCCGUCCAACAUUCAGGGACCAAACUUAUUGACAUACAACAUCAUUUCAUUAGAGAUCUUGUGGAAGGUAAAAUUCUUACCUUAACCUUUGUGCGAACAAAAAAACAGCUAGUUGACAUUUUCACAAAAGCUUUGAAUAAUUGAAGGUACGAAAAUCUUCGACGGUCUAUUGGUAUUUAUGCUAUUAAUUAAAUAGGUUGAAUAUCUAUGCUUCCAAGCCUUGAAAGUUUGUUUUGUCUCUGCACAUGGUUUUGUCCAGUCUAUCAACUCAUUAGAUAAUUCUAUAUUUCUCUCUGUGUGCAUCUCUUAACUGUCAUACAAUAUUAGUAAUAUGUGGAUUAACCUUGGCUAAUUAUUUGGUCUCUGAUAUCCUCACACAGCCUAAGACAACCUUGAUUGUUGCGAAAAAGCAUUGGCCUUUGUUGAAGUUCAGCUUCCUAUGUCAGUAUCUACGACAAACUUUUUGGUCAUGUUAUAUAGGGGCGUUGCAUUCCUUGGUACUUCCCAAUUAUUAAAUAUCUAGGAAAAGAUAUGCGAAUAAUGUACUAAAAUUUGAAAAUACUUAGUACCAAAAUAUGUACUGUGAUUACCAUAUAUGAAAAUGAUAGAAAAUUGAGGAAAGGAAAAAAAAUUAUACGAAUGAAGAAUGUUGACUAUGUACUAUCUUCGUUGUGCUCCUCUUUAAUUUGAAUUUAUUCUAAUACGUUUACUAUGCAUUGGCCUUAAUGAAGAUGAAUUAUGCUACAUGUAUUUUCAUUAAAACUUGACAUCGUUGUAUCGGUCCGAAUACAGGCUCUGACUUGUUUUAUUCACCAUUCGAUUCAUGCAACUUCUGUUUUUUUUUUUUUAUUAUUAUUAAAUGGGUGGGGAGAUUCGAACUAGAAGCCUAUGCAAACAUUAGGAAGAAAACAACUAUGGACAUCCAAUUUUUUCUUCUAUGCACCCAUGUCUAUCUUAAAGCCCACUUUGUUUUAUGGCCUUUCCUUAGGCUAUCCAAAAUAAUUCGAUAAUCUUCCAAGACUGCCUCAUUUGACUAAUGACAUUCUUUCCAAGAAUGAAAAAUCAUCGAUCAUGGUCAGCAUAUGAUUAGGACGAGCUUGCUCGAGUCGCUGUGGAGUUAGCAGUAAGAAUACAAAAGAUAAGCGUAGCUUCAUUAACAUUUAAUCAAGAGGGAUUCGUGGCAGCCUGUUUAACAAUUUUGACUCCAUUGUUGUCCUCUGAUUCAAGUUUUCCAUUCCUAUACAAAAGUUAACCUUCAAAUCUUCUCUCAGUGAUAAAUUGGCAAUGUUAGGGCUUAGCGGUUCCUCAUAGCUUUACUUUCUAGCUCCGCCAUUGCUUAAUUGAAUAGCUAAGUAAUGAUGAAAAACUACAAGCAUCUUGUGAUGGCUAAAUUUGAAGUCAAAAUUGCAGGCGACGAAGCUAGUAACUGUCAAAUAGUGUUGAGCUCUAGAGAGGUUAAUCUACAUGUUGUAGUUGUUGAAGGUUUGUAGAGUCAUAUAAUAUGAUUUUGCUUCGGACACUAGUGUGCAUCACCACCCACCAAAACUUCCCAUUUAUUACCGUUGGUAAGUGAAGCUACGAUGUAGUACUUGCAUGUUGUCAAGUGUAGCUUCAUAGGUUAUCAAAGCUUGUGACUUCGGGGUUUUUGUAAAUGUUGGAGUAGAAAAUGCAUGAAGCUUUUGAAUAACCCAAAAUUAGCUUCAUUCAACCCAUACCCUUGGGAGCCCAAAUAGUUUAUCGAAGCUAUGAUGUUUGACCUUUCUAGUAUAGUUGAAGGAUAUGCUAAUAAUACUUCAUAUUGCAUGUUGCAAAUUAAGUAUUGAAGAGUUGAAGCUUUUGUGUUGCUUGAAGCUCUGUAGAAGCUAUAUAAAUUGAUUGACCUUCUAACCGUGCCCUUGAGGAUCCACAAUGGAGUUGUGGUGUUUGCGUUGUUGAAGAGGAAAAUGUCUGAAGCAUAUUCAGGAGGGUUGAAGAGCUUUGGCGAGCGACUGCUUCACAUGUUGAUGACAAUAAUCUUGUAAAAGUUUGGCCUUUGUAUACCAUAUGUAGCUUUUUGGAGCUUCAGACUUUUCUAAGAGACAUGUAAACAAUAUGAUGUCGAAGCAUUACACAUGCACUGAAGCCUUUUGUUGUCUUCUUGAAUCAUAACACAUUGUUGAAACCCUUGUUGAUUUGUAAUAAGACUUUAUUGUUGACCAUAACCCUUAUUGGGCUUAAGUGCUCCCUUAGUUAAAUUCAGCUGAGUUUGUCUACGCCUUUUCCAAGUUGUAAGGCUUGAAAGUUUUUGACUACUUAUGAAUGUUAAGAAUCCACAGGUACAACUUGUACCGUUCUUCACCUAGUUGGUGAAGAGAGGCAAGUUCUUUCACCACCUACUUGGUGAGAAGAGUGGCAAGUUGUCAAGGCACAAAUGUUUAUUAAAGUACUAGUUAUAUCCUCCACCACCUAAUUGGUGAUACGAAAACGAGUUCCUCCAUCACCUAGUUGGUAAGAAGAGUGGCAAGUUGUCAAAGCUCAACAUUGAUUAGAGUACUGGUUGUACUCUUCAUCACCUGGUUAAUUAGUGAUAUGAAGGUGAGUUCCUUAAUCACCUAAUUGGUAGGAAGAAUGGCAAGUUGUCGAAACUCAAAAUUGUUUCUUAGAGUACUGGUUGUACUCUUCAUUACCUGGUUGAUGAUACAAAGAUGAGUGCCUUCAUAACCUGGUUGGUGGAAAGAACGGCGAGUUACCAAGGCAUAUUAUAGCACAUUCUGAAAGGCAAAAAUGUAUGUUGACACCCUUUCAUAGCUCAGUUGGCUUAUAUAUGGAUGAGUUGAAAGGUAGGAUGUUUAUGUUGAUUGACAUAGGUGAUGCUAACGACAUGAGGGAUGUUCGUGACAUGCAUGUUGUUUACGAAUGUUUUGCUAUGCAUGAAGGAAAUCCAUUAUUUAGUUAUGUGAACCAUGUUGGUUAUACCAUUUAGUUUCACUUACUUUGUGUUGAAGUACAUAUAUUGAAGCUCUAAGUUAGAGUAUAGAGAUAGGUCAAAGUUAGACCAAGUGUUCUGAUAUUAGAAACACAAAAGACUUAGACGAAGUUGUUUGAAUUGCCUCUUCAUUAAAUAUUUGUCAAAUGGCUUGUGUUACAAAAGAUCCCAAACGGUUGAAGGUUGAAACAUUUGGAAUGCGUAUGUCUUUCUAUAAUAGCUUUUCUUCAGUACCCAAUCCUCCACUUUGAAAAAGCGAGGCUUGACCCUAUGGCUAUAGCAGUUGAAAAUACGUUCACCCCUGAUUGUCUUGAUACCAACCUUUAUCCCUCUUGUUGUAAUGAGCUUGCAGGUUGCUAAGUGGGGCAUGAAGGGAUGCACAGAUUGUCUAAAUGGCCAAAACCUUCUCACUUGUUAGAACUUGACCUUCAUUCCCCACUUGUUGAUAGGGGUUAACCAUAGGAGGGUUCCCUUAGUAUGUCAUUGCCUUGACAAAAACACGAUUGUAAGCUUACGUCAACACUUCAAAUAAGUCUUCAAAGUAUUGGCAAUGAUCAUGUACUUGUAGAAGCAUUCACGCAUGCUUACCGUGAAGGUCGUAAGUGUAGUUUUGUCAAUAGCCUCAACGCAGGGAGAGUACUCAUGGCUGAAGUGACCGAUAUAUUCACGCAAUGACUCGUCUGAUUUUUUACGAAUGGUGUACAACUCAUUAGCGAAGUGUAAGCGAUCAGCUUGGAAGAUGUGUUAAGCCACUAAGAUUUUUCUUAGCUCAAUGAAGGAAUCUACUAUAUCAAGUUAAAGACAACAAUACUAAUUAAGAGCUCCAUUGGAAAGAGUGAAGGAAAAAAUGAGACAUUGUUCCUCAUCAAUGUGUCUUUGGUAUGUCAUGGUGGAUUCAAAGAAAUGGGUAUGUUAAAUUGAAUAUUCCCUCCUAGUAUACGAUUGUAAGCCAAGUUUUUUUUUCAUUUCUCCUUGUAGAAGGGUGCAAUGGAUCUUCCUUGUUAGAGCACUUGGCCUUGGCUGAUUCCAGUCAGGUAUUUUGGUGUGACGCUCAGCCUUUACCUAGUUCACUUCAUCGAGGAGUUGUAGGAUAAAAGGGUCUUGAGUAGAGUCAUGCACCAUUGGAGCCCUCGUUUGAAAGUUUCCAUCUCUUGAAAAUAUGGAGGUUUGGUUAAGAACAUGUGGUCUUUUCUUGGAUUCAACAUACUGUAUGUCAGAAUGAGCUUGUCGAAAGUCCCCUGAGUCUCCUACGCUCUCUUCUUCCUCCAAAGCUUGUCAUUCCCUCCUUAGAUUGGUAGUUGGCCUAGGAUGUGGUAGGGGACCGAACCCUAAAAAACCCUUGGGUCAUUGAUUUUUGAGCCUAUGUGGAUGGGUUUUUCUCAACACUGUGAUAGGAGCAUAUUUAUGCGACUGAGUUAGCUUGUUCUCAUGCAUUUAUGUUGUUAUUUCUUAGUUAAUUAUGUAUUUUAAGCUAUUUUCGUGUGUUUGUAGGUCCAUAGGCCUUAUAAAGCAAUAAGAUGCAUUUAGGUGCAUUUUGGAGCAGUUUUGGGCUUGGAAUGAAUAGCACAUGCAUGGAGCAAGGCGGAUGGACGAAAUUGAAGACUAAAGAGGCUAGGAAUGUGUUAAAGAGAAAGAAGAAUUAAUGUAAAAAGGACAAAGAGCUCAGCCACAAAGGGGUGUCACUCCACCAUUCACCUUUCCAUCAUUGCCGUGCACCACCAUUGCACUUCCUUUGGAUUCCUAUGUCGUACAUCAUCUUCCAUGUUCCCUCCAUUGACUCAUUUGUUGCAUCAUUCCACUUCCUUUCUCCUGUCUACCAUGUGCAUAAUAUCCUUUCACCUCCUUGCACUCGUUGAUUCACCACUUACUCACAUUCCACCCAUGCCAUGCAUAAUCACCCCUUGUCCCCUUCAUUAUUUCAGAUUUCAUGCAUCAUUACAUUGAAUCAUUACACUCAAUUGCUACACCAUUCAUUGUUCCCUCCAUCAUUUCAGAUUCAUGCAUCAUUACAUUGAAUCAUUGCACUCAAUUGCUACACCACUCCAUGUUCCCCUCCAUUGCCAUGCACUUCCUCUAUAAAAGGAAGUGUGUGUAACAUAAAUUGAGUUCAUACUUGGUUAGAUCAUUCACUCCCAUUUCAACACAACCUUCAUCCAAACACAUCCAUUCCUCCAUACAAACAAACCUUCAAACACUCACCAACACCUUGUGCCGUAGCAAAGGAAGGGAAGGAAAGUGCUUGGACGUGCUUGCUAUCCAACUUGGAUCGUUGGAGCAUUUAGGUGUUUUCUUUCUUUUGUUUCUAAUGUUUAAAUUCAUUUCCUUUCGUUUUGUUGUAAAUAUGAGUGGCUAAACCCCUCUUGGCUAGGGGUGAUUUCAAAGCCAUGAUUAUGUGUGCAAUAUAAUUUGAUAAAUUCCAGUUAUGAACUCUUGAAUCGUGAAUGCAAUUGGCUUAACUAUUUGAUUGAUAACUUAUUUGUAUUUGUUAAUUAAGGGUCGACACUUAAUUGGCAUGCAUAAAUCCGUUGCUAGAUAUAAGAAAGUUUCACAUAAUCGUUACAAACUUAUAUUCAUAAGUAGUGGAGGUCGCUUAUAAACGAUCGCGUUAAGUUUAAUUCUAGCAUGAGUAACAUAAUGUCAUAGUUGCAAGUGCUUUGUCAAUACUUAUGAUUUUCAUUAAACGUAAUGAUCUUUGAUUGUAUCUCUAUUAUGAUGUCAUGUAGGGAACUUUUGUUCGAUUUUAAAAGUUGGCUAAAAAUAAAAUCUAAAUGGAAUGUGCUGCAGAAACCGCAUAAAUUCUGCAGUACAGUCUCGAGAUUAAGAAUUCACCAAUAAUUCAUUUUCAAACCAAUGCUCGUGAAAAUUUGCAUAUUUAAAAUAAAUAUCUCAAUGUAUAUCAUACUAAAUUUUCAUGAAUAUAUGAGUUACAUUGAUAUAUCAAAAUAAUAUCACAAACAGACUAUUCUACAGAAGUCUGCAGAAUUCCAGCAACAUGGUAUCACACUUAAAAAUUUACCAUAAAUCCAUUUCUUAUCCAAAAAACGUUGAAAAAUACCAGCAUCUACAAUACAUUUAAUAUUACAACAUGACCGAAUUUCAUAAUAUUUGGAGUUAUGGAAGUCUAUCAAGCCCAGGUUAUUGACAUGAAUGGGUUUCCUUUUAAUGAGACUUUAAUGGACUCAUACCCCUAUAAUAUUAUAGUUUGAAAACACUAUAAUUUAGCAUGAUUAAUUUUGACAAAAUUUUAGGCAAGAAAUAAUUCACACCACAAUUGAAUCAAUUUAUUAAAAAUUUGAAAACCGCAAUACAAACCGACUGAAAGCAAUUCAUAAUAAUGUAAUUAACCACACAUCAAAAUUAUGACAGCAAGCAAUCCUUCAUAAUACAAUAAUUUGUUUAUAUAUACGUAAGUUGCCAAAUAGUUUCAUCGGUUCAUCAGAAAACAAACAAAUUGGGAAUGCCUUUUAGAACAUAUUAAUUAACAAUGCUAAAUCCAAAUUUUAAAUCAUGAAAGCAUGAAAUCCAAUACAAUAUUCAUCCAGAGAACUCACAUCUGCAAGGAUUAUUUUAAUAAUUUGACAGAAUCAUAACAGAGAAUAGUCCAAAAUAUAAGCAAACUAACCAAAAAUUUUAAUUUUUUUUUUAAGGCUAGAUUUUGCAACGCAAUAAGCGGAAGCGUAAAUUCUCAACUCAAUCAAUUUUGAGAUGGAGAAAUAAAUAAGAAAAUAAAGGUUGAUUGCCCAGAAUCAACAUCAUCUUUAUCUAAUUCUCAAUUUAGUUGGAACCAAAACCUUAAUUUUAACUCAACCAAAUUAGGUAGAUUAAAUUGCACGAUUUCAUACCUUUCCAGAGAGAAUUCUUACCGGAUAACGCCGAAUAGAUCUAAAAAGCCGCUAUUGAGGAGUUUUGCAAGAGAGCUAAGACUUCACACGCAAGAUAGAAGACCCCAUACUGUUUCAACACCCUAUCUCACCUCUUUUUUUUUCUUUUUUCUUUUUUUUUUAAUAAUAAUGAAAUAGAAUUAUCGCAACUAAAUCGAUAAUAAGAGGAUUAUAUAAUAAAUCCAAAUAUCAUCCAGCAUUAGGUUUGGUCAAAUGCCAUCAAAACUUGCACUUAGUUUACAAAUUUUUUUUUUUAAUAAUAAUGAAAUAGAAUUCUCGCAACUAAAUCGAUAAUAAGAGGGUUAUAUAAUAAAUCCAAAUAUCAUCCAACAUUAGGUUUGGUCAAAUGCCAUCAAAACGUGCACUUAGUUUACAAAAUUUCAUGCAAUUCGAAAAGAAACCAUGUCAUAUUGCAAAUUCGAAACGAAAUUUUCUUUUCACUGUGAUGUACGAAAACAAUACUGACCUUGAUUAUAUACAUGCUUUUAUUCUUCCACAAAAUAUAAAUGUUGAUGCACAAAACCGAAUGGUCUUGGAACAACGUAAAUCCGACCGUGAAUCUGCAAGUAACGUAAAUAACACAAAAUGUAUCGUGGUUCACCCCAAGGUUUGGGCUACGUCCACACUGAUUGUAUUUCUAAGGGAGAGAGAGCUCUCAGGGUGAGAGCUUUGAGAGGGGGUGAGAGGGCCUAGGAAUUGGCCUCCCUCAAUUGUGAGGGUGAGGGGUCUUUUUAUAGAAUAAGGACUCCUCACUUAUUAUAUAUUUGCCCCUUCCUUUAUUACAUAAUUACAUUUAAGUCCCCCGAGUAUUUAUACGAGAUCUAAAUACGGAGGCCCUAAAUAUGGUAUAAACAAUAGUCCCCCAAGUCUUCAGUCAAGAGAGUCUUUUGGCUAGAAACUUGAAAUUAAGUCCAUGUGUGGGCCGAAGUAACUAGAUGUUGCCUUGAACUGAUGCUUGAUAUGAGGCGGUGCUCAAUCUGAAAUGAUGUUCAACUAGAAGUAACACAUGUUGUGAGGCUGCUCGGCUUGUGGCUUAUGUUGCCUUGGUUGGCUCGGCUUGUGGCGUUGACGAUGAGGGAGUCCCUUUUAUAGAAUAAGGGCUCGCUCCUCAAUACAUGAAUGAUGGGCUAGAGUUGAUGCUCUUUAAUGAAGGUGAGGGAGUCCCUUUUAUAGAAUAAGGGCUUACUCUUCAAUACAUAAGUGAUGGGUUAGAAAUGAUGCUCGCGGCGAGGCGGUUGCUCAGUAAGCAGCGAUGCUCUCUAAUGAAGGUGAGGGAGUCCCUUUUAUAAAAUAAGGGCUCGCUCCUCAGUACAUGAAUAAUGGAUGCUCUCGAAUGAAAGUGAGGGAGUCCCUUUUAUAGAAUAAAGGCUUGCUCCUUAAUACAUAAAUAAUGGGCUAAGUCCCCCAAGUAUUUUUCAUGAGGCUCAGUUGAGGCCCAAUAUAUCGUACAUAAUGUAGUCCCCCAAGUCUUCAGUCAAUAGAGUCUGUUGGCUGGAGACUUCAAAUUGAAUCCAUGUAUGGGCCGAAGUGGCGGUUGUUCGGAGGCGAUAUUUGUAUACCCUGCACUGAAGCUUUGUAGGUGAAGCUUUGCAAGUAAAGCUUUGAAGCUAGAGCUCUGUAAAUGAAGUUGUCGAAGUUGGAGCUUUUGUAAAUGAAGCUUUUGAAGCUAGAGCUCUGUAAAUGAAGCUUUCGAAGCUGGAGCUUUUGUAAAUGAAGCUUUUGAAGCUAGAGCUCUGUAAAUGAAGUUUUUGAAGCUAGAGCUCUGUAAAUAAAGCUUUUAAAGCUGACUCACAUGAGUGAUGCUCAUGAAUGUUUAUGUUGAUUGACAUGAGUGAUGCUCAUGGAUGUUGUCAUGAGUGAUGCUCAUGGAUGUUGUCAUGAGUGAUGCUCAUGAAUGUUAACAUAAGUGAUGCUCAUGAAUGUUGACAUGAAUGAUGGUCAUGAAUGUUUAUGUAUGAUUGUCAUAAGUGAUGCUCAUGAAUGUUUAUGUAUGAAUGACAUGAGUAAUGCUUAUGUAUAAUUUGAAGUACUGGGCGUACUUUUGAUCACCUGGUUGGUGGCAUGAAGGAGAGUACAGGUUGUACAUUUCAUCACCUGGUUGAUGGCAUGAAUGGCUAGUUGCCAAAUGAUAUUAGAGUACGGGUUGUACAUUUCAUCACCUAGUUGGCGAUAUUAGAGUACGGGUUGUACAUUUCAUUGUAGAGUACUGGCCGUACUUUUGAUCACCUAGUUGGUGGUAAUAGUGGCGGGUUGCCGAAUAAUUGUGGAGUACUGGGCGUACUUUUGAUCGCCUGGUUGGAGCUAUUUUGGGCUUAUGGGCCUUCGCUCUCCACAUGACAUUGCAGCCCUUUUAUUUUGGGCUUUGCCUUUUUUUUUUAUUUUAUUUUUAUUACCCUCUGAUGGGGUUAUACAGAUAUCUUCGAAAAAUAAAUUACAUCAUUCAAAAAUAAGGAAAGUAAACCACAUCAUUCUGGUGGGGUGUUUAUUCCUUGCUUUUGCAGUGUGGGUGUGUAUUCCUUGCUUUUGCCAUGCCGCCAUGUGCUCUCGCAGAGGAAAGCCUCUCUUUUGCUUUCCGUUUUUUUCUUGGUUUUUUAUGCUUUGCUUUCGCUUUUGUUUCUGUUUUUCUGUUUUGUUUCCCAUUGCUUUUCUGCUUUUCUUUCUGAUUUGCUUUUCCUUUUCUGAUCAAGUACCUGACAGCUUGAAAUAUAUUGUAAUUAAGUGACCAGGGAGUAGGACUAGUGGAUCCCUCUUUUCUGUUUUUCUUUUUUCUUUUGGCAUGUGGCAGACAAAAGGAAUAGUAAUAGACUUAUUAUUAAGAAAGCUUAUCUUUUUCAUGAGUGUUUCCAUUGGUGGAUGGUAGGUAUUUGCAGGAGAUGGGAUCUGAGCAUCAACAAGGCCGUUAACGUGAGCCAUGUCGCAGGAGAUGGGAUCACCGCUAACGUGAGCCAUGUCGCAGGAGAUGGGAUCUAAGUGUCAACAAGGCCGCUAAUGUCCCCUGUGCCAAGGAAAUAAUCCCCAAACUUAUGAAAUGAAACGAUCAUGACCCUGUCUGUCGUGUAAAACGCCUCCUCAACAUCGUCUCCAUGGUGAAUAUCAAUAUACUUUUCGGCGUGGUGCAAACCGCCAGCCCAAUUAAUCAAAAUAUCGUAAAUCCCAUGGUUGAGCUUCACAGCGCCGCCAACCGACCCGCCGGCGUAGGUCUGGAAAAACGAGUACAACCCAUCAAAGACAGGGUAGUCCUCGUCGACAUUGAACCGCUUGAGCUGUCGCAGCUGGUCUUAGAAUUUCGUCAGAGCCUUACUUAAAUAAGGCCAUGGUUGUGUGCCAUCCUGUAUUGCAGUCCUCCAAGAAUCAUCAAAAAUUUUCUGAUAUUCAUCUAGCACCCCUGGGGCGGUCUGAUUCGAUAAAUCAAGAAAGCGAAAAAAGAUUGACGGUGGUCGUCAAUGGCAAGGAAAAAGAGAAACAAAGAGAAUGAAGUUAAACACCGCGUUUCUCUCUUCUGGUUCGGCAGGCUGCAAGUCUCGCCAACUCUGGGAUCAAUGUCGCCCAAGGCCUCGAUCUGGAUCUUCAAUCCCAUCUCAUAGCCUUCAAUGGACCGGUCAACCUAACCUAGCAUUGAACACAUGUCCCCGAGCUGCCUGUGCCCAGAGAACGCAACGAGCGCGCCAUCCACCGUGUCCACCGUGUUUUGGAAAUCGAGGCGAGGUUGGAGUCGUCGAUGCUCUGGUCGUCGUUAAAAACACGGGAAGAGUCGGUGAGCUUGAAAUCGAACAGGCAGUAGAAUAAACCCAGUAAAAAAAAGGAAACAAGCUUUAGAGUGAAAGAUCCAAAGACCCUAUCUUUUUUUCUGUCAGUUUUGUUUCAAGACGACGCUACGACGGUUAGGUUAGCGGCAUACAUUACAGGAGACACAAUGGCUCCGUCAGAUCAAGGACAAGUCGGGUCGUUUGAUGUACCCUCGCAGCUCUGCACUGGAGACCCGCAUAGACCCGGGUUUUCAGCAAAAGCGGUUACGGGGAAAAUCGAAAAGGACUUGGGUAUUUCGCCGGUUAGACGGUUCGCGGACACAUUGAGGUCCUGCAGAUUCGGCAGGUUCAGACCCGACAUUGAACUAGAGAAAUGGUUCGGCCCGAGCCAGAGUGUGAGAAGAUGGGUCAAAUGGUUGACCAUUGAGGGAAUCUCGCUGGAUAAGUUGUUAUAGGACAAAUCGAGGCGGUAGAGACGGAAAAGAACAUGGUGGUAAGUUCUGGCCUCCCACUGUCAAAACCCACGAAGCCAAGAAGAACCCGGAUGGCAGAAGCAAUUUCCAAAACUCUGUUUUCCACUGUUUGGCUGAAGGUAGAGAGGCUAAUCAAGUAGCAUUUGGAAAUGUGAAAUCUAGAUAAAGAGGGACUGGUUUCUUGGGUUUUUGUGAUUUUGCAGAUUCACGAUAGAGGUAAAAAAUUGAGAAAGAACCGACAUAGUUUUUUGUGUCAAUUCCCACAGACGGCUCCAAAUGUUGAUGCACAAAACCGGAUGGUCUUAUAACAACGUAAAUCCGACCGUGAAUCUACAAGUAACGUAAAUAACACAAGAUGUAUUGUGGUUCACCCCAAGGUUUGGGCUACGUCCACACUGAUUGUAUUUCUGAGGGAGAGAGAGCUUUGAGAGUGAGAGCUUUGAGAGGGGGUGAGAGGGCCUAGGAAUUGGCCUCCCUCAAUUGUGAGGGUAAGGGGUCCUCUUAUAGAAUAAGGACUCCUCACUUAUUACAUAUUUGCCCCUUCCUUUAUUACAUAAUUACAUUUAAGUCCCCCGAGUAUUUGUACGAGAUCUAAAUACGAAGGCCCUAAAUACGGUAUAAACAAUAAACAUACUAAACUUAGUCAUUACGUGAAUUGAUACAAAAUUGUGGAAGCAUGUUAACUGAUUUCAUAAGAUAGAAAGAUAGAAAUCAGCAAAUCAAAACAAUAUUAUGUAAUCAAACAAUUACCUUUAAUCUGAACCCUAAGCUUGUUGUGCGGCUCUGAUACUACAUGUAAGACGUAUUCUGAAAUCACAACAACAAAACAUUAGGAUCACGAACAAAUCAAAUUAAUAUAAAAUAGAGAUGAACUAAAUAUAUUGAACUUAUCUGUAGAAUACGAAAGACAUGGCUCUUCCAGAUGACAAAAGAUGAGUUCACAAGGUUGCCUUCUCCUUCCAAUACUCCAAAAUAUCCCUUUACUAUGUGAAUAGGUUUUAGUAUUAUGAGGAAUUCAACGUAUGGAAGCAGGGACUUAACCUAGUAUUUAUAUAUACCAUUGGGGUUCCUUAUUAGCCGACCUAUUAACAGCUACGAAAAUCAAACCCUAACACUUAAGUGAUUGAGUCCUACCAUGAUUCUAUAUCUUUGUAGAGAAACCUAUUAGAUUUCUUUGAGGUCAAUUGCAAAGGUUAAGACUCCAUAAUCCUUAUUUUACUAGGACUAUCAGAUUACUUAUGUCGUUAACAACUCAAUAAACAAGUGGCUUACAACACAAGUAAUCCAAUACAUCAUUCAUUGUCAUUCAUAACUUUACAAGGAGUAGCUUUAUAAACACUUAAUCAAGAGGGAUUCCGGGGAGCCUAUUUAACAAUAUCAUUUUUUGUAUCGCGCGGUAGCGGCAUUAUUCUAGUGGCGGAGACACAUGAGAACUAAAAUAGGACUGGGCCUCUCCAUCAUUUUCUUUAUUUUAUAUGCUCUUGCAUGUGUUUGUUAGCUUUAAUUAUAUUUGUGUGCUUUCCAUUGAGCACAAUGUAUUUAAAUCACCAUUUUGUAUACGUAGUAUUGUUGAAAAAGUUUAUAUUGAAGAAAAAAAAAUCACGCAAUUGCAUUUUUGAGCCAUGAUCUGUAAUGCUUGUUCAACUUUGAUGUAGUAUUCGUUUGUUUUUAGCAAAACUUAUGAACAAGUUCGGCGCUUAUGGUACUAUUAUCUCAAUGUUAAAAUAUUACUGUCGUGAUUCGGUUGCUCUCCUUUGAUUCAAAUUUCCAAUCCUAUACAAAAGUUAACUGUCAAAUCUUCUCUCACUAAUUGUAUUAUUUUUAAUCUAAUUUAUGUCGUAUGGCUUAGGAGGUUCCUCCUAGCUUUCAUUUCUGGGCCCGCCAUUGCUUCAUUAAAUAGCUAAAUUUGAAGAGAAACUACGAGAAUUCUAUGACGGCCAAAUUUGGAAGUCAAAAUUGUGGAGGAAUGAUGCGAGUAGCACUCAAACUACGUUGAGCUCUAGAGAAGUUAAAUUACAAGAUUUGAACUUGAAACCUUUUUAAACAUUAGGAAGAGAACAACUACUGGACAUCCAAUUUUGUAUUUUAUGCAUUCAUGUCUAUCUUAAAGCCCACUUUGUUUUAUGGCCUUUCCUUAUGGGUGGUUUGGGAGUGAGAUGCUUAAAAAAAGGAACCCAUGAAAAAAAACUGUGAGGGUUUUAGGUGUUUGGUAAACUAAAAAAAAAGGGCUUAUUUUGGAAGCUACUGUGAGAAUAAGCUGAAAUCGAAGGAAAAAACUGAAGCAGCUAUUUGCAGCUUUGGAAAACUGGCUUUUUUUCAAAGCACACGGAGCUACAGUGCUCCUUUAAUGAAAAGACCCACUAUCAGACCGUUUUUUUUUCCAAAAGCACUUUUACAAAAAAGUUUACCAAACACUCUGCUGAUUUAUUUCACAGCCGCUUAUUCUCACAGCAACUUUUUUUCAAAGCACAGCAAUACCAAACCAGCCCUUAGGCAAUCCAAAAUAAUUCAAUAAUAUUCUAGGACUGCCUCCUUUGACAAAUGACAUUCUUUUCAAGAAUGCAAAAUCCUCGAUCAUGGUCAUCAUAUGAUUAGGAAGAGCUUGCUCGAGUCACUCUUGAGUUAGCUGUAACGAAUACAAAAGAUAAGAGUAGCUUCAUCAACUUUUAAUCAAGAGGCGUUGAUGGGAGCCUAGAACACUCAACCUCUCACUGGACUCUCUCUAGAGAGUUCUUUUCUUCCUCUUUAGCUUUUUCCCCAUUUACUCCUUUUCUCCAUUUUUUUCUUGCAAAAAGGCAUCCUUCAAAAUCAUUUUUCCUGCAAAAUCGUCCCCAAAGCUGCUAUCUUCUCCCUCUCCAUCUCUCCAUUUCUCUUCGUCCCAAAGCUACUCUCUUCCCUUCUCUUUCCAUUUCUCUCCGAAAUUUUUUGGGAAAAAGGAAAAACUUUUUGGGAAUUUUCUGAGAAUUGUUUGGGAAUAAGAAAUAAUUUUUCUAUUGGGAUUGUUGUUGUUAUCGUUUUGCAUUUUUAUUUUUUUUUUACGAAAUUUUGGUGUUGAUGUUUAGGUAGUGGGUGGGGCUAAAUUUCAUAUUUAGGAAAUGGGUUGUCAAACGGAGUUGCCUAGAAGCAUGCUUGCAGACUUGCAGCAUGCGAUCGUCGUACGUAGAUUUGGAUACGGGAUUAACAAUCCCAUGGUUUUUAGGGGGUUUUGCUAAGACCGGCUAGCCCCUGUUUCAGUCAAGGCGAAUGAGAGCUAGUCUCAUUAAAUCUAGGCCUUACAAGGAACAAACACGAGACUAGACUAACCCUUAGUCCAGUCUAGUGAACUAUAGUGAGAGAAAACAAGCACCUCCAGAGAGGUCCGGGAGAAAGAUGUCGAUAUUCCCUUUGAUAAAUACCCAAGCUAGAGUAUUUAUAGGGAACUUAAGAGUUCUUAUGGGCUAUGGGUAUUCUGGUCCUUCUUGCCACGUGUCAUAGACCCAAAAAAUCAUUAUCCCACAUAAACAAGUCCAGAUAAGCUCCAACCAUAAAACUCAUCGCAAACUUUAUAAGUACCAAAAAUCAACAAUAUUUUUUUUAAUUUUCACCACCAAAGUUUCUUCUAUCCUUUCAAAUGGUUCAAAUGGCAGAGAAGGGUCACAGAAGAAAUGGCAAUUGGCAAACUAUUGAAGAUGUAGCUUUAUGCUUAGGUUAGUUGUCGAUUAUGGAGUGCAACUUUGAAUAUUGCACACCGUAACUCAGGGAGCGAUAGCAAUGCAGGUGAUGGGGUCCGAUUCGUCUGAAGUGGAUCAAUAGUUUCACACCUCCAAUGGAAUGUCUUCUCAUAGUUCUUCAAAUGCUGUGAACUUGGAGGUAGAUUCGGAUAUGAAAUGCCACAUCUAAGGCCAUACGGACGAGAUAAACACAAGGUAACAAAGUAAGAAAGAAAAUCCUGACUCAAAUUCCACUCAAAAAUGGGGAAAGGCGGAUAACAAUGGUAUAGGAAAUCAGAAAUGAUUAGAUAAGGGAAGAUAGGGGAUCGUUUGAAAUAAGAAAUCUUAAAGAAUUUUAGUAGGUAAGCAAUCCACAUAGAUAAAUGGAUAUAUCCAAGUAUUUCAGAUAAAUAAUUGUGAUAUGGAAUUUAGGGUGUAUUCAAUUGAGAAUUUGAGAUACUUUAAUGGAUUUAUAAAUCCAUGGAUUUUUAUGAAGUUUAAUUGAUUUGUAGAGAUUCCAUAUAAAAUUUUGUUUCAAUUCUCUCAAAAUCUCAUGGGGUGAGGUGAGAUUUGUGGAUACUUAAAAUACACUACGAAAUUUCUCUAAUUCCCUCUAAUUCCUCAACUUUCUUAAAUUCUUUAAAAUCAACUUCUAAUUAAAUACACCUGGAAUGUUAUAAACUUCUUUAAAAUCCUAAUUGAAUAUAUCCAGGUUUCUAAGGAUUUUAAUAAACUACCUUAAAAUUCUAAUUGAAUACACAUUGAAUUUCAGUAAAUCACUUAAAAUCCUGAUUGAAUACCCCUAGAUUCACUAAAAGAAUUAAAAUCUCUCAAAAUCCCAAUUGAAUUACCCCCCCGGGGAAAGCAUUGUCGGAAAAUAGGGUCUAAUAGCUAUAUUAUCACAUAUAAAAUCAAAUAAUAAUUAAUGCACGCAACUAAAUACCAAAUUUAACGCAUACUCAUAAUAAAAAACAAUGUCAAAUGCACAUGAAAAUGGAUUAGAAAAGUCUGAAUAUCGGUCGAGAAAAAUGUUAGACAUUUUGUCCUUAAGACAAGUUUACGCCCUAGUACAAUGCUCAUGGCUGAUCGGUGCUUGUUUGCAAAGAUACAACGACAAGUUUUCUUAAUAGUAGCACUCAAAAUUACAACGCACCAGUGAAUCACGAAGAUGUUGAAAACUCUCAUAUAUAGACUCAAUGACACUCUAAUGUUUUGUGCACUAUAUGUAUGAUUAUGCAUAUGAUAGAAAGGUUACUAAAUGACUACAAGGGGACUUGCUUAUUUAUAGAAAUAAAGAUGUCUCUUUUUAAAAUAUAUGACUAUUCAUAAAAAAUCAAAUGUUUCAACUCUUCAUUUUCAUUGAGAAACGCCCUUUUAAUUUCGGAUCCUUUCAAUUAAUAAAUUUAAUAUUAUAAUAAUAAUAUUAAAUUUUCCAACAAGCACUGACGGCCUCACGUGAGGGAUAGAUGGAUCACAACUGAGUGCCGAAUACAUAUGAAUGGAAGUUUAUUUCACAAAGAAGCAAGAAGCUGUUGGUUAUUUUAAAUAUUUUAAUAAUAUUUUAUUUUAAAGAUUCAAAAUUUAUUUUUAUUUUAUUUUAUUUUAUUUAUAAUAUUUAAGAGUUGUGUUUUAUUUGAAGAGUCAUAUUCUUUUUAAAAGGGUAUGAGAAGUUUUUUAAAUAAGAAACCUCAUACAUAAAACAUAAUACGCUAAACUUUUCUGUCUCCCUUAAUUCUCAUAUCUCUCUCAGUCAAUUUACAUUCAUACUUCAUAAUUCUUAGGCAAUUGAUCACUAUUUGGCAAUCCUGUCGUUGGCGUGCAUAUCAGAUCAGACAUCAUGUGAGGCUUUGGGUUGUAUCUUGGAGUUGUACACACCGCCAUAACCUACACGUAGGGAGGCGUCUACAGCUUUAAGGCAACGACAUCAUGCCUCUUUUUGUUUCACAAGCCAGAUAUUUUUAUUACUUCUUCCUAAUUUAAAUUUCAUAAAUCUGCCAGUAAUUAUACAUUUGAUUUGAUAUAUUUAAUCAUAUAAAUAAUUAAUAUAUUUCUGCAAUAUAUUUCACAGAAGCCAUAGACAAAAAACUCCGCCUCUCUAUAUACAUGAUUUAGCUUUAGCACAUGGACAAAUACUGUAAUAUAUAUAUAUAUAUAUAUAUAUAUAUAUAUAUUCAAAACGCGCGCAAGUUUCUUUGACUGUGAAGCAAGAAGCCGGCUGGAAGUUGAUGCAGAGCUUCCAAAGUCUUUCCUUCCGAAGUUGACACGCUUUUUAAGCGUUCUCAAUCAUUGGUUUUACACAACUUGCUUGCAGUCGACCUCUUUUUUUUUUUUUUUUUUUUUUUUUUUUGAAAGCUGGGAAUGAAACCAGGGCAAAGAUGCCAGAGAAAAACAGAAAGCCAUCAGGGAGGCCAACAGAAAACCAACAAAAUACAACCCAGGCAGGAGAGGGGAGGGAAAGACAGACAGACGAACCAAGUUCCCCUGUCACCCCAAACCUACCAACAAAUCAAUGAGGACAAAGCAAACCAUCUUUGUUAAGGACAUGAACCAACGAAGAUGAAUUAACUAUUUAACACAAAGCAAGCAUUAGAAUUAAUCAAUCCAAUCAACUAGCUAAUUUACAAUAUUAAUAAUAUUACAACAUUGCUUCUUUUUUUUUUCUUUUAAUCAAACGAUAUAUUUAUUGGAUUAGGAAGCCGACGGUGUUCGGACACACACUGUGAUGCAAGGACAACACUCCUGUCUACCAAUGUGGUAGAUGGCCACGUGCUAUUACAACAUUGUUUUGAAGGCAACCUACAUUUUAUACUUUUCAUGUUUAAAGUAAUUUUUUAAAUUGAUAAGUUUUCUUUUUUUAUCAAUUAGUGUAAAUGUAUCUUACACAUUAGCUCAAAUAAGAGUCUCAAGAUUACCUCAAUAUUAAUUCGUUGAAUUAUCAUACAAUCAAUCAAGGUAUGAAAUAAAAUAAUUUUAUUAUCUGAAGAUGUGAUAUAAAAAAAUUUAAACAUCAUGACUCAUUUUAAGAAUCAUCUCGAAUUUAGCAAGCGUAAAAUAUAAACUAAAUUUUAAAUAAAUUUGUGUAUAAUAUAUAUGUCCAGCAUAAGGGCAUAAUAAUCCAUUCCCCAACAAAGACUAAAAGUCAAGUUAGUUGAUAUUGUUGACCAACCAAAGGUGUUAGGUGAUACUUACUUCCGUUUUAUGAAUUAAUUAAUUUUUGUUUUUUAAGAGCUAAAUUGUUAUUGCAAAAGAUGGAUCAGGAUCCUCUCAUGAGCUUAGGAGGUUGAGUCUCUUGAGCAAAUCACACGGAUCGUUUGAUCAAAAUCUAAUGACUACAAAUAGAGAGCCUCUCUAAAAAUUAUAAUAAUUGUAAUCAUUAGAUUUUAAUUCAACGAACCGUGUGAUUUGCUCAGGAUUCUCAGCCUCCUAAGCUUAGGAGGAGAUCCUAAUCCGCAAAACAUAGCAGACUUGUUCAAAGGUAAGAAGAGUCAACCAGGAAUAUGUAUGAGAUAAAUAAGACCACUACAGACUUCAUCCACUUGGUAAAACAAGUUGUCAAACAUAAACAUCUGUGUUAUCACUAGCCAAAACCGAUGAUGGGGCCCAUAAUCUUUGUUGGUACCCUAUACUUUAGGGAUUCACUUUUCAAUCUGUUCAAGAGUCUUUAUAGUGAUUGUCCCUAGUUAGGGAGUCUACUGAAUAUGCUUUGAAGCAACAUUCUAUUGUGGUUACUAAUAUAAACUACAUUUUUUGUUAAAAUGAUUACAACUAAAAUUUAAAAUCGAAUUAGUUAAAUGCUUAUUAGUUACUGUUAUUGUCUUUAUUUCUCCUUGCAUGAUGACGUGAUAAUAUUUUACUGUACAAACGUUUCAAUUGAAUUGUUCAUUCUCUUUAUCAUCAUCUAAAUAUCAUUUCAAAAAAUUCUUAUGAAUGACUAAGUGACCUCCAAUUCAAGUGAAUUGUUCUAGAGAUGUUCUUUAGACAAUGAUAAAGGGUAUGAAUUGUUCAAACUAUAAUGUAUGUACUGUUUGAAAUAAAAAUAUAAAGAGAAUAGAGAGACAAGAGAGGGAUUAGGAGAAGGAAAUAAAAGUGUUACAUUCUUCUCGUUAGAUUGCCUAUAUAUAAGCAUAGGAUUUUCCAUAUUUACAACAAUGAGGACUAAACUAUUAAACCUUGCUUCGAAAACCCAGUGGGAAAAACCUAAGCAAAGGAGAAAAAUCAGACACCACGAUUAUGAAAUAUUGAUAUGGUGUUGGACUUGCAUAAUAUUGCCUCGCUAAAACCUUGAUAGGAAAAACCUAGUGGGAUAAAAACCUGGUCGAAAGGAAAAGAGCACAAUGCACUUGUAUGUCCAUUAUAAUAUAUUGUCGAACACUGUCCCUAAUGAAUAACUCCACUAAAUAAGUGACUCUCCUUUAUGAUAUUAGUUUUGAUUUGACUAGUCAUCACCGUCAAUUUGAAGUAAUGUGACUUUAGUCUUCAAGAAAUUAAACUUUGAGUAGAACUUGACAUGGGGAACUGCGAAAGUUUAUCGGGAGUUGACAACAACUGUUUGUGUUCUUGCAAAGAACAAAUAAAUAAAAAAUUUAGGAUAUAAAAUAUACUAGAAGUAGUGUACAAGUCCAUGGUAAUAUAAACCAUAUAUGCAAAUAGCCUUUUAGGCUCUUCAAGAGUUGUAUCAUAACUCUUAAAUCUUUUAAGGGUAUGUUUGCAACAACAUAAUUCAAUUCGAACUACCAAAAUUACUCAUUAAGGUAAUAUAUACCAAAUUUAUCUAGACUAGGUAUUGAGUACAUAUUUUGAGCUCUAUGCUCUUCAAUUGAAAUCUUUGAAUAAGAAUUUCAUGAAAUUCUCUAUUCUUUGAAAUUGCUUCGAGAGAGAUACAAAAACUUAAAAACUCAAGUAGUAUGCAGUUUCCACCAUGUUUAAGAGGACGCUAUACUUAUAAAAUGCGGUUGCACUUAUAAUAGUAGAUUAUGUCUAUACCAAGAAGUGUAUGCCAUACAAUGAUUUUAUUUCACUUUAAUACAAACACCCAAAAGUAACUUUUUGGGUUUAAAUUAUAUGUUCACUUAUUUCAUGUUUUUUAUUGCCUUUGAAAAAUGGAAUUUAGCUUUUAUGGUUUGUCGAUAUUUAAUAGGAAAACGGGAUUGAAUAGCCCUUGAUAAUGUGAGUAGCUACUAUAAUAAAAAUUAUUGAGAAUCAUCAAUUUGUGACCCUAACUCUCAUUCGCAUGCUUAUGCUUAAUUUAUAAGUUUUUCAUUGCUUGGGUACAAUGACUCUUUAGGGCUUCCAUUGCCACAUUUAGAACAAACAUCUUAAUUUGAAAUUACUUAUAGAUUUGGAUCAUACUUAUUUUCAAUUAAGGCUUGAACUUUAUUAAUCUCCAUUUGUGGCCCAAAGUUUAGAACAUAUGUGUGUGUGUGUGUGUGUGUAUAUAUAUAUAUGUAUAGUAUAGUAUAGUAUAGGCAUGCAACAGAUUAAUCUACGUCACUUAUAAGACCAGAGCGUAUGUAUCAACGUUGAUCCAUGACGUUUUUGAAACUGUCAUUUCUUCCACAUUUAGAACAAACAUCUUAAUUUGAAUUACUUAUAGAUUUGGAUCAUACUUAUUUUCAAUUAGGGCUUGAACUUUAUUAAUCUCCAUUUGUGGCCCAAAGUUUAGAACAUAUGUAUGUAUAUAUAUAUAUAUAUAUAUAUAGUAUAGUAUAGUAUAGUAUAGUAUAGGCAUGCAACAGAUUAAUCUACGUCACUUAUAAGACCAGAGCGUAUGUAUCAAUGUUGAUCCACGACGUUUUUGAAACUAUCAUUUCUUCCCCCUAACGUCACUUAGGAUUUUCCGUAUUUACAACAAUAAGGACUAAACUAUUAGCAUAUUACAUAGGCCCUAGAAUAUGGGCAACCACCUUGUAAAUAACAUUUACAACAUGUUUAAUAAAAUGAUUUCACAGCGCUAUAUAAAGAGGAAUAGCAUAACCCGUACCUCUUUAAUUUUAUAAAAUGAAUUAUAAUUUACCGAUUUCAAUCAUCAAAAUGAAGUUUUGAAAAUCAAUCACUAAUAAUUUUGACUAAAAAUUCUCAAAAAAGAUUAUACCUUAGAUAAUGAGGCCUGUACAAAAAGAGCAAACUAUGAAAAGAAAAACUGCCAAGAUGAUACCAUAAGAAAAGAAGUGAUGGAUAGCAACAGGUUCAUUCAUUCACCUGAUUCAUCAAUCAUACAUUGAAUUGAACUGUGGGAAUGAAAGGGACGGAACGGGCAAAGAAGAAGCCAACCUGGACCAUUUCUCUUCACCCCCUUUUUUUCUGUUAAUCCAUUUGACUGUUUCAGUCAACACUGAAAAACGCGUUCAUUCAACACUUGACCUCAUUCAUGUGCGGUCUCCGGUAUCAUUUCAUUGGACUCAUUUCAUUUAUUGUAUAUUGUAUGAUUAUUUUUCGUCAGUUAUUUUUUGUGUUUAAUUUUAAUUAAAUAAAUAAAUAAUUUUUGACAGUAAGAUAACAGAUGAACAGACACGAUAAAAUGAUUUAUGAAAUUCUAGAAAAUCCUAAAAUGAUCGUAUUCCCUCUUUCACAUACCUUGAUUGUCUCCUUUCCCCAUCUCAUACCCUUCCUAUCCUCUUCUAUCCCCAUCCCAUAUCCUUCUCAUCCUCUUCUAUUUCUGUGAUCACGGUUAAGGUACGUCAAUAUUUUAUAUUAAUUUUUUUAUAGAAAUAAUAAGAUAAAAAAUAAUGAAAAUGUAAAAUAUUGAUCUGGUUUAACAGUGACUGAAAGUUAUGAGAUGAGAGUAGGCAACAAUCCAAGUCCCUGUUUCACCCCUUACUCCUACCCCACCCCGUUAUUCAAUAUUAUUAUUUAUUAAUUUACUAUUCAAACUCCACUUACACGCCUUCCACCCCUCUUUUAUCCAAUUUCCCAGAACCAUCUUCCUCCCUCUCCUCUCUCUCUCUCUCCCCUUUAUAAAACUCACCUCAUCACUCUCAGCCUUCUCAAACCUUCUCAAACCUUCUCAGCUCCUCCUCUCUCAGCUCCGCCAACAAAAUAAAAUUAUAAAAAUAAAAACCAUCUUCUCUCCAGUUAUUUUUCUCCGACAUGUACGGCGACCAAGAUCCGACGACUCCGAUCCAAAAACCCAUCGUGAUCCGUGAAGUCUGGGCCCACAAUCUGGAAUCCGAAUUCGAGCUCAUCCAAAACGUCAUCGACGCCUACCCUUUCAUCUCCAUGGACACCGAGUUUCCCGGCGUCGUCUUCCGGCCCCCCGUCGACCCUACCAGUCCCUACUCCCGCCAGACCCUCCGGCCCUCCGAUCACUACAGGAUUCUCAAAUCCAACGUCGACGCCCUCAGCCUCAUCCAGGUAGGACUCACCCUCUCCGACUCCCGCGGUAAUCUCCCCGACCUCGGCUCCCCCACGCGCUUCAUCUGGGAGUUCAACUUCAACGACUUCGACGUCGCGCGUGACCCCCACGCUCCAGACUCCAUCGAACUCCUCCGCCGCCAGGGCAUCGACUUCGACCGCAACCGCUCCCACGGCGUCGACUCCUCGCGCUUCGCGGAGCUGAUGAUGUCGUCGGGACUCGUCUGCAACGACUCGGUGAGUUGGGUCACGUUUCACAGCGCCUACGACUUCGGGUACCUGGUGAAGAUUCUCACGCGCCGGGACUUGCCCAGUGGCUUGAACGAAUUUCUGAAAAUUCUGAGGGUCUUUUUCGGAAAUAGGGUUUAUGACGUCAAGCACAUGAUGCGAUUUUGCAAAAGCUUGUACGGCGGGUUGGACCGGGUUGCUAGAACCUUAGAGGUGGACCGGGCGGUCGGGAAGUGCCACCAGGCCGGUUCAGAUAGUUUGUUGACAUGGCAUGCGUUCCAGAAGAUGAGGGAUGUGUACUUUGUGCAUGGUGGGCCCGAGCAACACGCUGGAGUAUUGUAUGGAUUGGAAGUGUUUUAAUUAAAAUUUGGACAAAAAACAAAAGGAGUAUUUUAG
rnacentral:lncRNA from 1 species